CUGAUGUUUGUAAGAACGGAGAUCUGAAUGCGCUCCUCCGUCGAAGCCCGCUUGGUCUAUGUGGUGGAUUAUGUAGUAGUACUGUACUCCCUCCGUUUCCCAUAAUAUUCCAUCAAUUUCAUGAUGUAUGUUCCAUUUUCACAUGUCCCUCUCAUUGUCAUUCUCUUCCACUUCCACCCAGCAGGCUUAAGCAGGCUCCGGGGAUGCGUAUGUAGACGCAAGUGUUAUGAAGGCUCUGACGGAUUAAAUAAUGCCCCCUUCAGGAUUCAUGGCUUUGUUAUAAGUGCAAUUGGUUAAUUCUAGUUUUAUGUGGAUGACAUGAUCUUCUCAGUGUCCACGACAAAUUUUGAUUUUGACAGCUAAUAUGCUGUCAGCUUGCUAGUGCUACGUGAAUUUGGUUUAUUGUCUUCAUAUCUUGCAAGAUUUCACUACGAAUUUGGCAUAUGAUGAGAAGCAGGACAAGAUCACCUGCCGCAUUCCUGAUCCAAAUCAGGGACGCAAUAGCAUGAUGACUCUGUCUAGGGGAAUCUCUGAUGCUAAUACUCCUAUCUGUUUUUAUGGCUUCUUGGAUUUUGCAUCCCUUUCCAUGUGAAGCACUGAUGCGUUUUCGAUUUUGAUGGCUAUGAUGGUGUUAUAUGUACACAAGCAUUUUGCAACUAAAAGUAACUAAUCCGAGGCAUUUUGUUGCUGACAUAAAGUUGUUCUGAUCUUCCAGCCUGAUGAUUGCUCUUGUUUGCACUAAGAACGGAGAUCUGAAUGAGCUUUUCCGUUGAAGCCUGCUUGGCCACUUGGUUGAUCAUGUGAAUAAUCCCUCUGAAUUUUCUCUCAGGGUUAAAUGAAAAUAAACCCUGACAUACAUGCAUGCACAAACAUAUAUAUCCCUCUGAUUAUCUUCCACCAAGCAGGCUAAAUGGGCUCCGGAGAGGAACAUGUAGAUGCAAAAAAUAUGAAGGCUUUGGCAGAUUGAUUGGAUGGUGUCUCUAGAUUCCUUGUACUUCCUUAAUAAUCUUGGUUCUUUGAAACUUCGGUGCUGCCUGCUUUCCAUGCAUGCAGCCAGUGCUGUUGUUUACUGCCAUUUGUUUUUGUCUUCCAAAAAUCAACUUUAACUUUGGAUGGAUCUGGGAACGUUGCUAGUUUCUGUCGAUCCUUAUCAUUGAUAAAACAUGAUUAAUGUUGCAAUUUUUAACAUUUCAUGACAUGAGUGAUGUUAGCAUAUGAUGAGAAGCAAGACAAGAACAUCUGCAGUGCAUCUGAAUCAAAUCAAGAUGCAGCAACAGGAUGACUCAUGUCUAGGGGAAUCUCUGAUGCUAUUGUCACUUUUUAUUCAUUCUCCUGCACUAUGCUCUGUUCUUCCUGAUGAUUACCAUUACCUUACUUUGCACUAAAAAUGGUUAUUUGAAAAUAUGCUUCUCCUUUGAAGCUUGCUUGGCCUCUGGUGAAACAUAUAGUACUUCCUCUGUUUUUAAAAAGAUUAGUUAGAUUUUCUCUUUGUAAAUUGCAUCGCAAGUCCGUACAUAUGCACACAUCUUUUUACCAAGAUGGCUAAGGUGGACUCUAGUGGAUUUAUCUUGCAAGUACUAUGAAGGCUUUGGUGGAUGCAUAUAAUGCUCCUAGUAAAAUUUAUUUGCACUAGAUUUGGUGGAUGAUGCAUAGAAUUUGUAAUGCUGCCUAAUACUUCUCCAUUAUAUGCUAAUUUGCUAACUAAUCAACUAGGAAAAUACAAUUUAUAAUUUAUUGUGAAAAUGUUCAUUCUUUUGGUUUCAUCGUGUGAGAUUAGGACUUGAGUGCUUGGGGCAUUGCCAUUGGGGGCAUUCUGAUCUGCUGGCCUGAUGAUUACUAGUGUUUGCACUAAAGAACGGAGAUCUGAAUGUGCUUGUUCGUUGAAGCCUGCUUGGCCACUCCGGUGAUCAGCUUCUGCUGAUGCUGUACUACUACUACUCCAGUUGAAAUUGCACUGGCUGCCAUUUUUGUCAUGCCGUGUGCUUGCUGAAAUUUUGACAAAUUGACCCUUUUUGAAAACUUAUUUUCCCCCUGUGCUCGCUCUGAUUCUUCCACCAAUUAGGCUGAGCAGGCUCCGGGAAGCAGAUUUGUAGAUGCAAGAAAUAUGAAGGCUUGACUGGUCAGAAUGCCCCCGGAUCUAACAAUUUUAUGUUGUGUCGUUUGAUCACUUCAAAGCUAGGUUUUGUGGACGCUGGUUGCUGAUUGUCAUUGGUCUUUGGGUCUAUCCUAACCACAAGUUGAUUUAAGCUCUAUCCUUGGUUGCUGAUUGCCAUUGGUUUUUCAGUUUCUCUUAACUGCAGGUCGAUUUAAACUGUUCGUUGCAUCUCCUUUGUUUAGGAUGUGCCAAAUUUAAUAUUGGAGCUGUGGGUGCUUCCUAUUUUUAAUAGAAGGACAGCAGCAACAAAUUUCACAGGAGCAGCAAAAAGGGUUGCAGAUUCAGAUCAGGUGCUUUGUGUUUUUAGGCCAUUUACAAUGCAAGGACGAGGCGUGUGGCAAUGUAGAGCCUGUGUUGCAACUAAUUUGCGAGACGAAUCUUUUAAGCCUAAUUGCUCUAUGAUUUGAUAAUUUGCUAUGACAGAUUAAUUAAGCUUAAUAAAUUCAUCUCGCGGUUUAUUGAUAGAUUCUAUAAUGUAAUUAGUUUUUUUUAAUUAGUGUCCGAACAUCUCAUGCGAUGUGACACGCUUGCUGGGCUGACUCUACAUGUAAUGCCUGGGCUGAAUAAGCCGUAGUAGUCUCUUGGGCAUUUUUAUUGGGACUGUCUUUCGAACGACUAUUGGGACUGUCUUUCUAACCUUUAGCAGAAAUACAAUAAAAAAUCUGCCAAUUAUAAGUACGGUUUAAUUAAUACUCCCUCCGUUUCGAAAUGUUUGACGCCAUUAACUUUUUAGCACAUGUUUGACCGUUCGUCUUAUUCAAAAAAAUUAAGUAAUUAUUAAUUGUUUUUCUAUCAUUUGAUUCAUUAUUAAAUAUAUUUUUAUGUAGGCAUAUAAUUUUACAUAUUUCAUGAAAGUUUUUGAAUAAGACGAACGGUCAAAUAUAUGCUAAAAAGUCAACGGUGUCAAACAUUUCGAAACGGAGGGAGUAUGCAAUUAUAAUAUAACUAUCGAAUAAUUAUAAUAUAGCUUGAAUGUAAGUUGCAUGUAAUUACUUCCUUUUGUUCCAAAAUAAAUUUAUCUUUUUCAUCAUUCACACACCAAUAAAAACAAAUAUACCCAUAUUAUUAAAUACCAAUGCAAUUAUUUUUCAUUUUAUCUACUCUCAAUAUAAUUAUUUUCUACUUUUAUAAACUUUGAUCAGUUGAUGUAAUGGUUACUGAGAAGUGAACUUAUUUUGGGAAAAAAAAAUCCUUCGUAGCUAUUUUUUAUGGUUACGGGACAAUGAGAUUUUUGUUUUUGCAGCUAGCAUAAAUAUCAGUUCACAUCCAACGGUCAGCACCAAUCUCAAUACCCAUCCAACGGUUUAGAAAUCUGACUGAUAUAGCUACCAAAAAUCUGUCGAAUGACAGAUAGCAAAACCAUUUUUAUUGUACUGCAAAAUCGUCAACCGUCAAAAUUACUCUGACUGAUAUAGCUACCAAAAAUCUGUUGAAUGACAGAUAGCAAAACCAUUUUUAUUGUACUGCAAAAUCGUCAACCGUCAAAAUUACAUCCGGCUCCUUUGGGCCAACCUCCCUUUGGGCCAACCUUUUGGGAGGAGAUAGAAGGCAGUGCACAUGAGCAAUUACUCAGUCUUUUUUGAGGUAAAAGCAACUACUCAGCUUAAAAGGGAAGUGGUAGCGCUAUGCAUUACAGCUGAGUGUGUAGGUGUAGCCAUAUAUGUUUCUUUGAGUUGGCAGGGGCAGGAAAUAAUAAUACACCAACCCAACUUGCUUCACAACGAAAGAGAAGCUCCAGACAGAAUAGCAGAUAUCCCUGCAUCUUAUGAAAUGACUUGCAACAGUGUGUAUCAAUGCCUUUUUUGUAGUUGGAACGAGCUAACGAACGUUCAGUUGAAGCCUCCUGCAUAACAAGACGCAUAGCCAUGACACAAGCCAGUCCCGUGUUCAGUGGAAGUUCAGUAGUCCACUGGUGUAAAGAGGGCCAAGAGGCCACAAACCCUGCAUGAAACAAUGCAAUUGGUCUACUUGGGGCAAUUGGAGUAGUUACCAGCCGAAAUGCUCCUGGAAGUACGUAUCAACACAAAUCCUGCACGGCCACCUGCUCUGGCAUCAACGGACCUAAUCCACGCACAUUACCUGCAGAUUACCAUGUAUAUAUGUGUGAGAAAGGUGGAAUGGUUUAUUCAAAACCUCUUGAGCAAUUUGAGUUUCACAGGUUCAAGAGCUGUAGAAUCUCACCAUGGAAGGGUCUGAGGAGCAUGGUGAGACCUCAAAGGCACCCCUGAGCAGGGGGGUCAGUAAAGGAGUGUCUAUACUCGAUGUUAUACUUCGCUUUGUCGCGAUCAUUGGCACCCUCGCGAGUGCCAUUGCCAUGGGCACCACCAAUCAGACGCUGCCUUUCUUCACCCAGUUCAUCCGGUUCAAGGCGCAAUACAGCGAUCUCCCAACUCUCACGUACUUGCAGAAGCCUCCUCAAUAGUUGAUAGCAUUGCUUCUUUAGAUAACUUAUGGACAUCUGAUGGUUCGAUCAUUUUUAUCUCUUGUUGGCAGGUUUUUUGUGGUGGCAAACUCUAUUGUCUCUGCCUAUCUCAUCCUUUCACUCCCACUGUCAAUUGUGCACGUCAUUAGGAGCAGGGCUAAGUAUAGCAGGCUCAUCUUGAUCUUUUUCGAUGCGGUGAGAUUAUCACUUUCUCCAGUUUACUGCAUAUCAGUUUUGAACACUAAGUUUCUUCUUUCAUCCUGAAUAAAAGUGUGACAGUUACUAACUAUACAGUAAAGAAUGAAUAGCAUCAGCAUGCAAAUAGAUUGUUAACUUACCUGUGAUUCUUGUGAAGGCAAUGCUAGCUCUGGUGACCGCGGGGGCAUCUGCUGCAGCAGCUAUUGUGUACUUAGCACACAAGGGAAAUGCCAGAGCAAACUGGCUUGCUAUUUGCCAGCAGUUUGAUUCCUUCUGUGAGCGCAUCUCUGGCUCCCUGAUUGGCUCAUUUGCAGCCAUGGUUGUGCUGGUACUGCUCAUAUUCCUCUCGGCUAUUGCAUUAGCCAGGCGAUAGACCAAAUUGCCAACUGUUUGCUUCCUGUAGUGUGAAGUAUCAUAUUAUGGCGAGGUUCUUGCACUUACUUGCCUAUGUAAUAAUCUGUGUGCCUAUUUUUCUCUUGCUAUCAACCUCUUCUAUCUUGUGUAUCCCCUUGAUUGUACACUUCAUAUAUGAAUGCUACAGAAAAUGAAAUAUAGAUGUGGUGUUAUGGAUUUAAAAUAUUGUUGUACUUACGAUCACAAUUGUUGUUAGAUUGCAUCAACCAAAUUACCAAAGUGUGACAAGUGUCACCAAAUGAUUAAAUUCAUACCUGCUAAGUGGCAGUGAGCCAGUGAUGGUGCUAAGUGCUCAUCAGACCAUGAUUCAGAGGUUUUGAAUAUGCUUGAUCAUACAUGGUAUAAACAACCAAGUCACGGGAUCUUAUGAAUAGCAAGUUAUCUUCUUCUUUGAUGCAGUGAGAUUAUCCACUUCACUUCAUAUCAGUGUUGAACACUUAGUUUAUUCUGUCAUCCUGAAUAUCUGUUAACCUCUGCUCCGUCUCCACCCUUUGAUGUGUAAAUACCAGAGCAGCAUGUAGUUGCUACUCUCAUCCUCAUUCAUGUUCAUUGCUGACGAUACUUUGUUCGGUAGUUUUGAAUUUGAUGUACUGUUUGCAUGCAACUCCAUAUAAUAUACAGUAAUCACGGUGCAGAAAGACCAGCAGGUUUACGGUCAAUUUGAGCAUAACCAGCAGCUUUUCUUAUCCCUCUUCUAUCCAUUGACCUCCGCUCUGUCUCCACCCCCAACCAUUCACCAGAUGAGGCAUAAAUUCCCGAGAGCAGAACAUAGUCAGCACUUGCAUCUUCAUUCAUGUUUAGAAGCUUCUCCCUCACAAGCUUGCCUAGGGUCAUAUUGCCAUGGGUUCUGCAGGCCCCAAGCAAUGUCCUCCAUACGACCGCACUUGGUUCACACCUCAUGUUGCUCACAAUCGCAUAUGCUUCAUCUAGUAAGCCUGCACGCCCAAGCAUGUCUACUAUGCAACUGUAAUGCCUCGCAUUGGGCUCAAUUCCAUACCUGUCUUUCAUCAGAUAGAAAAAUUUCUGACCAUCUUCAACUAAUCCAGCAUGGCUGCAUGCACCAAGUACACAUAGGAAAGAAAUCUCAUUUGGGUGUAUUCUCUUCUCGAGCAUUUUCUUGAAGAAUCGGACAGAUUGUUCUGCUUGUCCAUGGAAGGCCAGUCCUCCUAUGACUGAGUUCCAUGUCCAAACAUCCGUAUCCUUCAUCGUGUUAAAGCCUUCGACUGCAGUAUGUAAAUCGCCACACUUUGCAUACAUUGAUACCAAUGCAUUUCCAACAACAAUGCUUAUCCAUGGCCGCCGUUCCAAGUGCAACUGAUGAUGUAUCAUCCUCCCUGCGUCGAGCAACCCCGUGUUCGCGCAGCAUGACAACAAGCUAACAAUAGUCGCUUCAUCAGGUGUCCACCCUGCUGCCCUCAUCUCAUCGAACACCUCCAACGCAUGUUUCAGCAUCCCUUGCGCGGCGUACCCAGUGAUUAUGGUGUUCCACGAAACCACAUCCUUUUCAGGCGCACGGUCGAACAGCUCCCUCGCAUUCUCCAUCUCUCCAUGCUUUGCAUAUGCGCCCAGCAUCACGUUCCAACAAACUAUGUCCUUGUGCGUACAUUCAUCAAACAUCUUCCGUGCAGCAGCCAUGUCACCUCUCGCCGCAUGCCCCGCUAUCACAGCCGACCACGCCACAACAUCCCCCUCGCCGGCCUCGUCAAGGAGCACGCUGGCAACCCUCAGAUCCCCGCACUUGGCAAACAUGUUGAUGAGCGCAUUCCUCACGUAGGCGUCCUUCAAGAAUCCCAGCUUCACGACCGCGCCAUGGACCUGGCGCCCGGCGCGAGAACCCGGCAGGCCGGCGCACGCCCGCAGCAGGUAGCAGAAGGUGAACGCGUCGGGCCGCAGGCGGGAAGCCUCCGUCAUCCGCCGGUACACCGCGAACGCAUCUCCGGGCGCGCCGGCGUGCGCGUACCCGCGCACCAUGGCGUUGUGCAUGAAGAGGUCCGGGCGGGGGAUUCCGUCGAACACCUUGCGGGCGUAGCCCAUUCUGCCGCGGAACGUGGCGACGCAGGAGAGCAGGAGCUCCCGGAGAUGCUGGAGACGCGCGGCGGCGAUGCCUCCGACGACCAGGUGGCCGUGGAUUUGCCUCACGGCGCGCGGGCUCAGACGCGCCGAGCCCUUCCGGAUCAUGGCGUGUAUCGUUGUUGGUUAGUCCUGUCGUUGAAGGAGAAGAGAAACGAGAUGGCUGGCUUGGUUUGACGACUUAGUGACGUCUCAAGAUGAAAUUUGUAUAGAUUGAAUUAAAAGAAUAUGUUCUUUUUUUUUUAGAAACAUAGCACAAAGGCAUAGGCUAACAAUACGAGCACACUCAUAUCUAUAAACACACACGCACACUCAUCCCUAUGAAUAUACACAUGCACACCCUAUCGUUAUAAGCAUCUCCGAAAAACUGUGUAUUCAGAUUGACGAAGUCACCACAUGUAUCAUUGAAAGAAUAAUUAGCCAUAAAUGCGAGCACCUGUAUCAAAUGUAGGAUUUGAACCUGGGUGUGUGUGUUAAAUCUAGGAUAAUCUAGAUAGGUUGGUUCUACCAUAAGGACACUCAAAGUGCAAGCCACUCAACCAAGAAACCACAAGAUGCCACAUAGACUAAAGACACGGAUCCUAAUUUUGGCAUUCCCACAGUGCAAAGAGCCUCGUGAGUGACUUCAGUUUUUCGUUUCAGCCCUGCCCCUUACGAUUUCAGCCCUCAUAUUUUUUCAAUUUACAAAUAAGUCCAAAUUUUACACUAACCACCCUAAAUUUGAGAGAAAAAUAUAAAUCCCACCCCCUAACCCCACCACCUCAUCCACCCCCAAAACCCCCUCCCAUUCCCCUACACCCCCACCUUGGCGAGUUCACCGGUGACGAACUCCACCACCUCCGCCCCCCACUCCGCUCUGCAACGAACUCUCCCCGCCAGUGGCCUCUGCCCUCUCCUCGCCGGCAGCCUCUCCCUUCUCCCUGCCAGCAGCUUCUCCCUGUCAACGCCUCUCCACUUCCGGCGGCAUGGAGCUCGAUGCUGGGCGGAGCGGCGAUGACAUCCUCUUCCCUUCUGCAGCCACGAGCUCCGGAUUUGGCCUGGCACUGGGCGGCGAGGGCGGAGGUCGAUCUUGGCGGCGCAAAUCGGGUCGACGAGCUCUCCGGCGGUGGCGCGGAGUGGUAGGCUGCAGCCGCCUAGCUCGAGGCGGCGAGGGUAGAGAUGGAUCUCGGCGGCACAAAUCGAGUCCAAGAGCUCCCCGACAACGACACGGAGUGGGAGGCUGCAGUCGCCGUCAAGCUCAUGUGCAGCGGCUGUAUGUGGCGAGGGACUGGCAUGGCGAACGGCUUUUUCAGCUUUACUUGUGCCUUUUUCAUGUUUUUCAGACAAGGAACUUGCCUCUUCGUUGAGGAACAAAAAGUUCUGCAAAGGUGCAAGGGUCCACACCUUCUCUCCUCCACGACAUCAUGAAGUCUACGUGGUGGGAUGAAGGAACGCUCCAGCGUGAAGCAUUGUGAAUAGCCUAACAAACAAACUUAAGCUACGCUCACUUCACAAGAAAAGAAGAUGUUUGUCCCCUAUUGUGGACCUUUCUUUUUUUUUUCUUCCUUUGGGAGGGAUGCUUAGUUAUAUUGAACAACGUUUUCUAACAACUCCAUUAUGUACUUAUUGGCUUAUUAAUUGAAGCUAAAACUAAAAUUUUAAAAUAUAAUUUCAAAAUUAGUUUUGAUUUUUUUAAUGCUACUAUUCAGCAUUAGCUCUUAAUUCACCAUAAAACAUAAAUUAAAAGGUUUAUUUAUAAAUUAUUUUCAAUUGCUUCAUGUAUUUUUGCAAGGCUUGUCAACAGUUUUUCCUUAAAAUUUCCCAAAUUUUAAUUACUUUUGUUUUGAUUCAAACACCCAAACUUGCACGAUUAAAUACAAAACUCGAGUAGAAUUUGAACCUUUUCCCAAAUUUAGGUUACUUUUUUUUUGUUUGUUCAAACACCAAAACUUGCACGGCUGAAUACAAUUCUAGUAGAAUUUGGACUUCGAAAUACUACUAGAAAAGAUGGAAAUCCAGUCCCAAGCAUUGUUAAAUACAAACUCGUGUAGAAUUUGGACUUGGAAUUACAAGGAAACAGGGAAAUCGGGGUCUUAUUUGUAAUCCUCGGUCCCACCUGUCAUCCACCCUAAGGGCCUUACACACCUCCGGAAACUUCUAGACCAAUCAGGCCCUUAUAAGCGAAGUCCAAAGCCCCAAGUUUCCUCUCCCUCGAAAACCCUCGCGAAUCUGAGAUCCCCAAGAAUUCCUUCUCGAAAACCCUAGAGGAGAGCGAGAGAGAAGAGGAGGCGGCGGCGGCGGCGGCGGAAGCACAUGGCGAUCAUCUCCGACUUCCAGGAGGAAGAGGCUCCGCCGCGGCAGCAGCAGCAACCGGCUUCGGUGGCGGCGGCGGCGGGGAGCGGCGACGAGGUCCUCGCGGCGGAGCUGGAGCGGAGGGGCGGCGCGAUCCCCUUCCUCCAGGCGGCAAUCGACGUGGCGAGGCGGCGGUCCGACCUGUUCCGCGACCCCUCCGCGGUGAGCAGGGUCACAUCGAUGGCGUCGGCGGCGAGGGCGGUGGUGGAGGCGGAGGAGAGGAAGGCGAGGGAGGCCAAGAGGAAGGCGGAGGAGGCGGAGAGGAAGGCGGCCGAGGCCGAGAGGAAGGCGAAGGCGCCCGCGGAGCCGAAGCCGGAGAGCUCGGCGGGGAAGGAUAGCAUGGAGGUGGACAAGAAGGAGGAGGGCAACGUGAGGAGUAAGUACUCUGUUCCCAUGCCCCCUGCAAUUGUUAAUACUGCUGAGUUUUAGGGUUUUGAUGCUAAAUGUGCUUUAGAUAUUGAUGACUUUGCUUGUCAGGGAUUUAGGGAUCUUGAUUAUUUGCGUGAUGCUAAUACAAACUUUUUUUUGUUGUUUUAGUACCUUAAUUUCUGUCUGCUACUGCGGUAGGUUCUUUUUGUCUCUAUAGAACUCUUGAUUAAGGCUAAUAUUGGUUUAUAUGAUCUAUUCCUCACAACAUACUUAGUUUUCUAAAAAUAACAUAGGUAUACUUCGUAGUUGGAAGAUGGAUUUGCUGCUUAGCUAUUUGCUGCUGAUUACCUCUGGGUAAAACAAUACUGGUGCAUACGGAGUAGUAUUUAGGAAUUAGAAUAAACUUCAUGUAUUCAUUAUUUAUUAUAAGUAAAUUCCCAUUGCAAUUGUCAAAUUGAUGCAGAACAAAGGUAUCUGUUUCCAUUAGAUUUGAAGGCCAAUUUCAAUCUGGAUGAAUUUUACUUUGGUUUGCUCAAUUGAUGGGGCUUGCAGAAAGUUGGUUUUGUGCUAUGCUAUAUCCCGAGAAACAACUGAACUUAAUUUGAUAUAACCAUGUAAUCUUACCUGUAGUAGUCCUUUCAUUUGCCUAUUGGCGAAAUAAUUUGCCCCAAUUUUUGGAGAUCAAUUGAUUGGCGUCUAACAUAAUCCUCUUCUAUGAAACAGAACCAAAUGCUGGCAAUGGUCUUGAUUUGGAGAAGUACUCUUGGAUUCAGCAAUUGCCAGAGGUUACCAUCACCGUACCUGUUCCUCAAGGAACGAAGUCAAGGUUUGUCGUCUGUGAUAUUAAGAAGAACCAUCUGAAGGUUGGGCUGAAGGGCCAGCCUCCUAUCAUUGAUGUAAGUACCAACUACUAUAAACUGAUGAUUUUUCUUGUGAAUGCAUUUGUUUUGGGAAAAAAGCACAUUUUCUCUGAAUCUGAUAUGUGGUGUUCUAAUUGUCUAAUUGUGGCUCUUUCUGGACAGGGUGAGCUUUUCAAACCAGUCAAAGUUGAUGACUGCUUCUGGAGCAUAGGUAUAUGAUACAAGUCCUUCACUUUUACGAAGUGACCUUUUAAAAUACUCUCACCUUAGUUCAUUACUGACAAAAAAAUCAUUUGAUUCUGAUAAUAUCUUCAGAGGAUGGAAAAUCGCUGUCCAUUUUGCUGACAAAGCAAAAUCAAAUGGAGUGGUGGAAAUCCGUAGUGAAGGGUGACCCUGAAGUUGAUACACAGAAGGUGGAACCGGAGAACAGCAAACUCGCUGAUUUGGAUCCAGAGACUCGACAAACUGUGGAGAAGAUGAUGGUAAGUUGAGCAAUCCUUGAUCCAUAAACAAUCUGAGCUAGAGAACUUCACAAUUGUACAAAGCAUGGUGAGCUAAAUAUUUUUCCUCUAUUGUGCAGUUUGAUCAACGCCAGAAGCAGAUGGGUCUUCCAACAAGUGAUGAAAUGCAGAAGCAAGACAUGCUCAAGAAAUUCAUGGCUCAGGUAAUUCGCAGCAGAUGAUCAAACUGUGUAUGCAUUAUUUCGUUAACCGCCUAUUACGCUUCAGUUACCUGACUGAACUUUUUUUUUGUUACAGCACCCGGAGAUGGACUUCUCCAAUGCAAAAAUAGCUUAGAACUUAUAAAUCGAGAGUGACCAGCAGUAUGGAGAAGGUUGGAGAUGCUGAAUGGAGAACUACAUUUCAUCUCGUUCUUAGUGUCUGUCGAUGGAUGGUUUACGGGUAGUGUCUGUCGAUGGAUGGUUUACGGGUUUAGCCGUGAGGUGAUUGGCCUCACGUCAUUUUGUGAAUUUUGUGUUCUUCAGAAACGUGAAUCCGUGCUGUUUCCUGAACCUUUGAAUGGAUAGUAAAAUCAGUUGCACCCCAGUGACCUCUAUUUGUGAAUCGAUUGCUUGUAAAGAAUUUCUCUGCAUCAUCACGUCUAUUUUUCUUACCAGUAAUCUUUACACGAACACAUGCCAUCCUUGAAAUGAUGGAACCGGCUCCUGUCCCUAACCACGAUCUCACGCCCAAACACGCGAGACACGUACUUGGUCGCCUCGUGGCAAUCCCUACAAACUCUCAAGUUCUUGGUGAUUCGCAGCGUCUCGCGCGGCCUCGCGCGCAGCAGCCCGAAGGCGAUCGCGAGCUUCUCGCUGUGGCACAGCAGCGCCGCCUCCUUGUCUUCCUCGGCGACGUCGUGCAGCGCCUCGCCGGUGUCCGGCACGUACCCCUCGGCCCGGAUCCUGCUCACCAUGUCCACGGCCAUGGCGUAGAUCUCCCGAGCCUGUGGGUGGCGCAGGUUCCCGCACCGGAACUCGCAGGCCUCGCCGUCGACCUCGAUCACCGACCGCCCGGCCUCCUUGCUCACGUUCCGCUCGUCCAUCAGCCGCCGGACCUUGCCCACCUCGUCCCACCGGCCGGCGCCGGCGAGCAGGUUUGCGAGGAGCACGUAGCGGCCGCUGUUGUCCGGGUCGAGGUCUAUGACGCGCCACCCGAUCGCCUCGCCGAGGUCGACGUCGCCGUGGAUCUUGCAUGCGCCGAGGAGCGCGCCGAGGACGGCGAGGUCGGGAUCCAUUGGCAUUUCGUCGAUCACCUUCUUGGCUUCGUCUAGCUGGCCUGCUCUCCCGAACAGGUCGACCAUGCAGCCGUAGUGCUCUCCCUUGGGCUCGAUGCCGUGGCGAGACACGAUGUGGUUGAGGUAGCGGCGGCCUUCGCUGACCUCGCCGGCGUGCGCGCACGCCGUGAGCACGUUCAGCAGCGUGACGUCGUCGGGCGCCACGCCUGCGGCCUCCAUUUGGUGGAAUAGCUCGAGCGCGUCGUCGCACCUCCCGUGCACCGCGAACCCGCCGAUCAUGCAGUUCCACGUCGUGAGCCCCCUCGCCGGCAGCGAGUCGAACACGCCCCAUGCCUCGUCGACGCACCCGCACUUGCAGUACAUGUCGACCACCGCCGUCGCCAGCUUGGCGUCCACCUCGAUCCCGCUCUGCUCCACCCACCUGUAUAUCUCCCUACCGCGACCCAGCGCGCCCGCGCCCGUGCAAGCCACCAGCGCGCUCGUCGCCACAAACCCGUUCCCCUCCACUCCCAGCGCCCGCAUUUCGUCGAACACCUCCAACGCAUCCAAGAACCGGUCGGCCUUGACGUAGCCCGAGAUCAUGGAGUUCCAGGAGACCAGGUUCCUCGCGGGCAUCGCAUCGAACACCUCCCGCGCAUCGUCCACGAGGCCGAGCCUGCACAGCCCGCCCACCAUUGUCGUCCACGACACGACGUCGAGCGCGCCGCCGCCGCUGGUGCGGAAGAGCACGCGGGCGAGGUCGGGGCGCGCGGCGGCGAGGUAGGCGGCGAGGAGCGCGUUGAGCGAGUGGGCGUGGGAGUGGAGGUUGAGCUUGAGGAGGAGCGCGUGGAGCUGGGCGGCGAGCGGGAGCGGCGCGGCGGGGAGGAGGCGGGGGAAGGUGAAGUGGUCGGGGAGGAGCGGGAGGGAGAGCAUGAGGGCGAGGAGCGACGCGGCGGCGCGCGGCGGGAGGGAGGCGAAGAGCGGGUUGAGGAGGGCGGGGCGGGGGUCCGGGUGGUGGGCGAGGAGGCGCGCGGCGUAGGGGAGGUGGGCGGGGUCGCGGGCGAGGAAGGCGAGGAGGCGGCGCGCGUGGGGCGGGUGGGAGGCGAGGCCGAGGCGGACGAGCUGGGAGUGGUGCUGCCUCAGCUCGGCGAUGGUGGUGAUGGGGAUCGGGGUCGGGGACGGCGCGGUGGUGGUGGCCGACAUUGGUGGAGGACGAGAGCUUGGAGAAGAUGACACGAGCUGCCAGUGAUAAGGUCGAUUUUUAGCUAUGGGCCAAGGUUUAACGAAGGAAUAUCCUAAUUUCAUUUCCAUCGGAAGUAGGAGAGGAUACAAAUUUUCAUGGCAAAAAAAAAAACGCAGACAAACCUUACAAUAAAAAGUUAAAAUAUUAUAACAAUCAUGAUAUAGGCAUCAUAGGCAUCGUCUUAACAAAGUUGGGAAAGGUCGAUAAUUCUAUUGUUCCAUGUUUUAAUGGAGUCGAUAUUUGUGUUAAUUCGAUAAGGCAAGUAUAAGGGAAUGUUUGGUUCACUUACUCACUUUACCAAACCUUGUCAUACUUUUUAAGACAUUUGUUUGUUUCACUUUUAAAAUUGUGAUAUGCUACAUUUUUUUAAUUCAAAGGCCCACAUGUGAUACACCCAUCUUUUAGUCAAACCUUGUCUAAGGUGUGGCCAUCAAUUUAUAAGUUACAUAUCUAGCUAGGUUUGGCAAGGAGGUUUGGUAAUGUUUGGGAACCCCUAAAUUUUGCUGCUCAUGGUGUCCAUACCCCUCAGUAACUCUGAAGAUCUACUCCUAUGUUAGGAAUUCACUUUGCUUCAAAAUGGUUUCGUGGAUAUGAUUUCAUCCUACAAAAUUUCUUCGUCUUCCCAUUCUAACUCUUGUGCCCAAUUCUACAUAAACACUCCCCUACCUCUCUUAGACUCCAUCCAUGUGACAACCACUUAAGUAUAAUUGGCUUGUGGUGUCUGUGGAAAAUCUAAUUAUUGUAUUUUGGCGUUUUCUGAUGUAUUACAUCGACCCUCUCAUGGAGUAUAUAUAGGAGUACAUAUAUAGGAGAUAGAGACUUGGAGUACAAUAUAAGUAAGAGUAGAUUUAUCUCUAGGAUUCUAUCUCUAGGACUCUAUCUUAUCUGUAGGAUUCUAUCUCUAGGAUAUAUCUUAUCUCUAUAAUUUGUAUUUGACUCUUAUCUCUAACUAACAUAUUAUACUUCUAACAUUCCCCCUCAGUCGUAACGGGAGCGAAGCAAAUGAUUGCGACUGGAUUUGAAAUCUUCUAUUUCUUCAUCUCCUUCAACUCACCAUCAUCGAUUGUAUCUCUGAUGGAUGGUCCUCCACCUGUUGCCUACGUCUCCUUCUGUGUCAUCCUUUGACUCUUCUCUGUUAGUGUCUUCUAAUUAUAUUUGCCUAUUUUGACACAUAGAUCUAUGUCUCUAAAUAUGUAAAUGGUUCUACUUAAGUUCUAAAGUCUAAAUAUCCUUGAUCAGCGUAUAUUUGUCUAUUUUGACACAUAAUCUGAGCCUAAAAGUCCCUUCGUGGAAAGUUAGGUUGAAGGGCGCAUCAUGUAGUGGUUGUUCGAAAUUACUAUUGAGCCCAGCCGUGUUGCAAAUACACACUUUUUAUAUGGAAGUUUUUUAGAUGGAAAAUCUUUCGGAUGAAAAGAAAAGGUAUACACUAGGAACACAAACUGCUCUAAAAUAACAAUACAUUUUGUUGUCAGCUGAAAUUUAGAUAUCGAGCUCCACACUUGAUUUAUCUUCAUAAAGGCAUAUAUGCUAAUUAGGGACAUUUGGACCUCAAAGUUACACAUUUUAGGGCUCCUUUGAUUUGCAUGAUAGGAAAAAACAGAUAUAGGAAAAGCGCAAGAACUGAAGUAGAUCACACCUAGACAAUACAAGUCCUUCUCAAAUCCUUCUCAAAUCCUACAGGAAUCAAUAAACAUAGGAAAGAUAAUACGAGUCCUUUGAUAAUGCCAUGGAAAAACAAAGGAAAAUUCACAAAUAAAUCACACCUCUUGCUACUUUUCCUAUGAGAUGUGAAGCAUAGUAAUGCAAUCCUAUGAAAAGUUUUUUUUUUCAUUCCUAUGAAUCAAAGGGACAUGUAGGAAAAAAUCCAUAGGAAUUUGAAUCCUAUGAAAAUCCUUUGCCAAUCAUAUGAAUGAAAGGGGCCUUAGGCCCCCUUUGAUUCAAAGGAAAUUCAUAGGAAUUUUAGAUGAUUUCAUUACUAUAGGAAUUUUUCCUACAUAGCCCUUUUAAUCAAAUAAAUGAACAAUUCUUAUGGAAUGUCUCUUUUCAUACAAGUUUUAGAGGAAAUUUAAUAUGAGGUAGAAUCUCAUGGAAAGAAUGCUUUGAGUCUUUAUCUCUUCUCAAAUUCCCGUGUUUUUCCUGCGGCCCAAUGAAAUAGUCAUUCAUUUCAUAUGUUUUUCAUGUGUUUUGCAACCCUCUAUUUUGCACUUGCAUUUCUAUUUAAAUUAUAUGUUUUUCCUAUUCAUCCUUUUUUCAUUCAUGUGAUUUAAAGGGACCCUUAGAGACCUGAAUGGGCUGAGCUAAUCAUUAAGGUUGCGUUCUUAAGAGCAUUUUUAUUGGGCUACUUGUACUUCGUGAGCACACUUCUUUGACUAUUAAAUGGUGUGUUUCAUGAAAAAAAGAUUUAUAUGGAAGUUUCUUUUAGAAACAAAUGAAUCUAUUUUUUUUAGAUUUUAUAAUAGUUUACAAUUGAUUAAUCAUAUAUUAAUAAUUUACCUCAUUUCACAUGCACGUGAUAAGCUCAGCUAAUAAGCACUUUACUACUCAGAUUCAAUCUUUGGUAUUGGCAAGACGCACAGCUGUUGAUGUCCAUACAUGAAUAUUUCUACUCGUCUCCAUAAACAAGGCAAAAAGAAAAGGUUACUACAAAGAAUAGCAAAACUUCCUUCACAAUGCAAACAGAAAAUUAAAAGUCUUAGCAUGAUAUAUACCAAAUUGGACCAAAGAACAACACCGCGAUUGUUUACUGAUAUGCUUGCAAGUAGUUUAAUUCUUAUUUUCAAAGACUAGGAAAGAAAAAGGUCACAACAGGUAACAAACCAUAAUGAAAACAUAUUAGGGAAGCACCAAAACUGUGAUGAGUCGUGCGUAAAGUACUCUCGGUAUGAGCUGUUUAAGUUUAGUUUAACUCACAAAAUUACACAUACGGAUUAAAGAUAUUUACCCGUUAGUUUGUCUUUUUUAUGUGUGCGUUUUAUAAGGGAAAUUGUCGCAUAUGUGCAAAUUAUUCGUCCACAAAUAUAAACUUCCACCAACAACUGCUUAUUUAAUUCACUCAUUUUACCUCAGUCUUCAACCAUUAUCACAUAAUGAGAGACAUAAUUGUCUUCUCCUUCAUUUUCAGUCUCUUAAAAAAAUAUAUAGAAGUGCUUAUAUUUAUGUCCUGCAUAGUGGUGUAUGAGCAACAUGUCCUAUGUAACAGAAAAAUGACAAAAAGAAAAUGCUACUCCUAAUUAAAUGUUACUCCAUCCGUUCCAAAUAUAUAAAAACCUAAUACAAUAAAAAUAUCCUUCUGUUUAGAUUCGUAAUAUUAGUAUAUGUCUCAUCUAAUACUACUAGUAUAGAUUCUUAGUAUAGGUUCUUAUUAGUUAUAUUUUAAGACUGAGGGAGCAUCAACAAAAAAAAAUGUUGGCACAGAAACGGAGUAGAAUUUAUUUAUUUAUAUAUAUAUCAGCUAGCCUUCAAAUUACGUGCUACCGCUAGUCUCACGCAGUCAAGCAUGAACCUCGUGGUGAAGGAAGAAGACGUACACGGGCACACGGCCAUGGACAGCACGGCAAUAAUGUAAGCUCCGGCCGUAGCCGUGAAGAUAUAUAACGACGGCGAGCCUCCUCACAGCGACGUUUCCACGGUGGUUGCGGCUGCACUGCACACGGACCGAGCUAGGCGCGUCAUCAUCAUCGCCGCCGGUUGCCGCCACCUGGAGCUGGAGAAGUGCGACGGCGAGAAAGAAGAGGACGGCGACGGUGAGGAGGAGAGCAACGGCGCCGGAGUCGGGGAGGAAGAUGCUUGCAGUCGAGCCGACGAGCUCGGCCGCCCAAAGCGCGGCGCAGUAGGCGACCAUGACGAGGGCGAUGGCCGGAGCAGCAAGGCGCGCCAUUGGCCGCGGUCGGCCGGACUGUGUUGUUGUUGGUUAUUUUAGUCGGUCGGCGAGAUCGUGCUGGGUAUCUUGCAACACCUUCUUGCCGAGAGACCAGCUGCUAUAUAUACACACGACGCCGACGACGACGGAAAACAUGUCACAUACAAUUAAAUUAAUGAGCUAGCUUUCCUGGUUGUUUCUUGCUGGAAAAGUACGGUAAUACUAGAGGAGUUCGGUCAUCACUGGGGCCCCUAAGGACGUCGUUCCAUCAAUCCGGUGAAGGUCAAGGGGUAAAAGUUUCGGCCGCCGGAGUGCAAUAGCCAAUAGCCGCAAUUUAAUACUUAAAAAUUUGUAAUAGUGUGUAGCUAGUUGAAUGGCCACGGGGCAGUGGAAUGAAAAGAAAAAGGGGGGCGGAUAGAUUUUCUUUGUGAGAUCGAGAGAAACAUUUUCAAAGCGAUGUGGACAUAUUCGUUCAUUUGACAGCGAAAAAUGAAGUAUUUUGAUGAAAUUUUUUAUCAAAACUAGUAAAGUGGCCCGUGCAUAUGCGCGGACACUUAUAUUGUUGAAAGGUAAGAUUAUUGUUUGUUCAGAAAUUUUGUCUCAUAGAUUCAGGGCAAACUAAAGUUUGGAUAAUGUUAUUUUAUAAUAAUUUAAGGGUUCUAUUUUUCUUAAGGUAUCUUAGAAAACCAUUCACAAACUUUUGAGUAGAAGAUGGAUUAAGUACUUGCGACUUUUGAACCAUGUUUUUUUUUCUCGAGUAAAUAAGAAACUAUUGCUAGUUAAUUAUUAUACAGUUCGUAUAUACAUACCGUGUAGUAUGGUUGCAAAAUUAAAAAUGCGAAUGCAAGAUACUCAAAAUUAUUUUGAUUAAAUCGUCUCAUGAAGGCGCAUGAUAUAGUAAUAAAGGGAGGGAAGCAUAUGCAUGGGAAAAAAAGAAGAAAGAGAAAAAUAAAAAAAAGAGAGGGGAGGCGUACCUACCCGCGCACGUAGGUGCAUACCUAUGUCGAGGUGGGCCUCGUAGUAUUUAGUUUAUUUUAAGAUCAAUUCAAUCUAACAGUUUAUAAUAUUGGACCUACCGAUUUAAGCGAAAAUCGAAUAAUAGAUAUUUUGAUUUGUUUUCUUAGAAUUUCUAAUAUUUGCCUUAAUUUAUUAUAGCACCACGUGACAGCUUGAGAGUAUUUUAAGGAAUUUUAAAUGACUAAUUAGAAUAUUAACUGCGCAAUAUAUUUGUAUGGGACAUAUGGUAAUAUUUGUUCCAGCUUUGUCCAUGUUUAUAUACAUGUUGAGAGAAAUUAAUUUUGUGGCUAGCAAGCCAUUAGAUGUCUAAUUAAUAGCAAUUAAUUUUGACACCUAUUUACAAUUGUUCAGAGCAACUCUUAUAUAUUCAUCUUAUGACUUUGAUGAUCCGUUGAUCACCAAUUUACUGAUCACCAUGGCUCGUAUGAAAAAAAUAUGGCUCGUAUGGAAAAAAUAUGUACUUCCUCUGUUUCAUAAUGUAAGUAGGGAACUAAUUAUUAAAGUCCCUUUCUCCGGCCGUGUUUGUGGCUUGGCUAGCUAAGUUCUUUCUUAUGAAAAUGGAUAAGCGGUAUGUUCCAUAUGAAAACAUAUUAUUUGAAAAAAAUAAAAUAAAUAUAUCAGUGUUAUUAGUAUUAUUAUGUUAGGCUAUUGAUGUUAAUGAAUCUAGAUAGAUAUAUGUCUAAAUUCAUUAACAUCAAUAUGAAUAUGGGAAAUGCUAGAAUGACUUACAUUGUGAAACGGAGGGAGUAGUACUUAAGGUUUAGGAUAGCUGAAAUUGAUGAAUUAUAUAAUUUAUGUGAUAGCUAUUUGAGGGUAUAAACGAAUGAAUUGACUUCUAAAAAGUUAGAAUGCUGUUUAAAGAAGACACCAUUUAGAAACUUAGAAAGCGUGAAAAAAAAUCCAAAAUAUAGAAUCGGAAAAAAGAGAGAGGGCCUUAAACUCCCUUUAUCACUGUUGUCGUAGUAAGAGUUCUAUUGAUAUUCGUCAAUAUUGCGCUCACAUUUAUAACAUAAUGAUUCCUUUCACCUGUACGAACAAAUAGUACAAAAUCCAAAUAUGACAUAACACAAAUACAUUAUAAUUGUUAUGUAAUCAACUCUUGGUUUCAACUUAAACAGAGCUAAUUAUUGCUGAGAAAAACACAACCCAUGGUGCUUAAUUAUUCUCUCGCUGCAUCACACCUUUAAUUUUCUUUUCAUGUUAUUAACAAAAUUAAUCAUCUCUAUAUAUGAUUUGAUAUGUGGCAAAGCGGUAGCGCUAUAGCGGUUGUGAUCACCUUAGAUGUCUCAGACACUGUGCUUUGUCACACGUGCGAAAGGCAAAGGUGCAGACGUGCAUUGUGCAGCGGGCAAAAAGAGAAUUUUGGACGCUUUAUUUAUUAGCAAACAAUAGAUCCGAUGAUUAUAAUAAUAGGUCCACCAGUUCUAGUGUAAAUGUAAAUUAGUUAAUAUAGAUUUUAAAUUGUUAAUUUAAUGGGUACACAAUAUAAUGGUGUAGAUCUUAUUUUGAAACAGUGCAUUACUUGAGAAUAAUAGAUAGACCAGUGUAAUAAAAAGUAGAUCCGAUGAUUUAUAUAAUGGAGCCAUCAGUUUAAGUGCACGUAUAAAUUAGUUAAUAUAGAUAUUGUUUAUUUGAUAGGUACACGAUAAAAUUGUGUAAAAUUUAUUUUAAAAUAGUGCAUUGUUUGAAAAUAAUAGUGCAAAGUAAAGAGUGCAUUAUAUGAUGGUAGAGUCUUUGUUUGUAAAAUUAUGAUUAUUUAAACAAUAUAUCCAUUAUAUAUAUAAAUGGAAAAAAGAAGAAAAAAGGAAAAAAAUAGGGGGGGGGGGGAGGAAGCGUACAUACCAUGUACGUAUGUAUAUCCUCCAUCUGCCAAUUCACGGGAGGAGAGGAUAGGUGAACCCAUUGUAUUUAGUUUGUUUUAAGAUCAAUUUUAUCUAAUGGUGUAUAAUAUUGGACCCACCAAUUUAAGUGAAAAUCAAGGGAUAGAUGUUUUGCUUUUUUCUUAGAAUUUCUUGGAUUUUCUCUAUUUUAUUAGAGCGCUACGUGGCGGCUUGAGAGCGUUUGAAGGGAGUUUCAUGGACUUUCAGUAUAUAAUAGAUGGUCAAUUCUCGGUUUGUUCUAUAUACUUGGCUAUAAUUAAUAAUGGCUAUAUUAAGAGGAAUAAAAUUAUUUGGAAAAACUUAAGUUGCCUCUUGAAAUUAGGAUUUUUAUGCGGUAAAUGUUUAAAGGGGUUGUGUUAACCAAGGACAAUUUAGCUAGGAGAAAUUGGCAUGGUAUUUUGAAAUGUUGCUUACGUAUGAAAAAUGAAACUAUUCAACAUUUAUUUUAAUUUUGGAGCUAGUGUCACUAUGCAUUGGAGAGCUCUACAGUUUUCUUCUGGUAUAUACUCUACAUAGUAUAUCUUGUAUUUUUGAGAAUUGGCUGGUGGGGAUUAAUAAAAAAAGCUAGUAAAUUUAUUCUUGUUGGAGCAUCCGCUAUAGUUAGGCUAUAUGGUUGUGUAGAAAUGAUAUGGUUUUUGACAAGUCACCAUCUGUAUCUUAUAUGCAGGUUCUUUUUAUAUCAACAUAUUGGCUCCGGUCCUUGGCUCAACUACUAAAGUGUGAUGAAGAUAUCAAGUUAGUAAAACCUGCAUGUCGUAAUUUUGAAUCAAUGGUUAUGUAUAUUUUUGUCAAUUUUAGAUGGAGAUUCACAAAUAGAAUUCAAUAAUUUUGUGGACUUUUUAUGCUGUGGACGUCUUUAGUAGUUGGUGCGUGCUCCUAUUUUUUUAGCGUGUGUUUUUAUGUCUUUUUGAACUGGUGUAAUAAUUGGCUAUAGCUCUUUGAGCAAAGACCGUGAUUCUAUUCCAUUAUCUAAAAAAGUGAUGUGGACAUGUCUCUAUAAACGACUAUAAAAACAGAGUUUGUUCUUCUUCCAUCCUCUCCUACCGCACGAGCGUGCAACGUGAGAGAAUAAAAACAUAAGGCUUAAAGAAAUUUCUAGCCCGUUCUAAAAAAACACAAAUAUUAGAAAAUGACCUAAUAUCAAUUAAAUAGAAGGAGGAAGAUUUUGAACCCAGGCUGGCUAGCCGGAAAACCCCUGAAGCUAGUCCAAUCUCAAUGGUAUGGGCUAUUACGAUUCAAUGAUCUGUUACUUAGUAAUGACAAAAUGUUGAAUAUUGCUAUGACUUAGGUGCUAUCUAUCGAAUGUUGUUAAAGUAUGAGGUUUGUUUUGCUAGCUGUAAAAGAUUCUUUUUUUGAAAAAAAAAAGGUUUGGCAAGGCUAUUUGUCAUGCUGGUGUUUGAGCACAUGAACAUGGCCUCAUGGGCAUUUUGUAUAGCAGAUCAAAUGCUCAUUGGCAUCUUGUUUUAGUAUGGCUCAUCUGGUUCACAAACCAAACAAAAAUGUGAAAUACAUAAUCUUUGGAACAUCUCAUGUACAAAUUCAUCCUUUUAGGCCGAUACAAAAUGUAGGAUUAAUUAGUUAUAUGUUUAUGCGUGUAUUGCCGCCGCAGAUGAUUCCUGAGAUGACACAGUCAAGUGAAAUAUAGGGUAUGUUUGGUUUGUUACCAAAAUACUUUAUGAAAUUUUGAUAUUGUCGAAUUUUGAUAAGGAAACUACUAAAUAUGUCCCUACCAUCACAACAUUACCAAUCUCUACCAAAGUUUGGUAACUUUAGAACCUUCCACUUACAAAACUACAUCAAAAUUUGAUAAUGCCUCAAACCAAACAACACCGUUGCAUUCUUGUCGAUACCAAAAUUUUGGUUGUGAGACGUAGAUGGUCAGUGUCUUCUGAUGAAUAAUUGGCGCCAUGUCAUGUUAAGUUUGAUUUUGUUGCCAAGAAUGAGUUUGUCUCUGAAGGUUUAACUUGAUGGUUGUCUAGGUGUGUGUGCAUGUUGUCUAGGUGUUAGAAUUUUGUUCCUAGACAUGAUUGCCCAGCAAACACCCUAUCGGAUAAUCUGAUUUAAAUGUCGGAUAAUCCGCAUCCGUCAGAUUUUAGAGAUACUAUAUCCUCAUCCGCAUCAUACUAUCCGCAUCCAUAUCCACCGGAUUUCUAAAAACACAUACCAUAUCCUUGUUUCGGACGGAUUCGGAGCAGAUCGGAUCGGAUAUUAUCCGAUCCGUUUUUACCCCUAAAGUUAUGGUACAGGCUUUUGAAAGAUGGGGCAAAUUUUUCAAAGGGAAGCACCCUGCUAUGAGGGUUGAUCGUAGUGUUGGAGAUGUCCAGAUGGCGUGGAGCUUGGUGAUAGUUUUUCAGUGCACCCUUAGGUAUACUCCCUCUGUCCCAAAAAAACCCAACCCUACCUUCCCAAGGUGGAUAUAAGAGUAGAGACAAAGGACCAAAAUGCCCCUAAUCAAUAGCAAAGUUAUAUUGAUGGGUGGAUAGGUAAGUGGUAUUGAAGAAAUAAAACUUCUCGAUUUACGGAUCGGUGAUAGGUAAGAGGGUAGAAGUUGGUUUAUUUUAGGACAAAUUUUAAACUCUAAAAGUUGAUUUAUUUUUGGACGGAGAGAGUACGUGAUUUCAAACUCGUAUGACGAAGAUACGAUUGAUUGGCCUAGCUUGCCCGUAGGGUUGUCUUGGGUUAACUAGAAGUGUAGGGGCAUUAAGGGAAUUUCAUUCAACUCUUAGGCUGAACAAGACAUACUAAUUAAUCCAAGUGCUACACCGCAUGGCAAACACGGUUCCCUUGUUUCAUUCUUCCUAAGGACAUGAACAAUUAUGUGACAUUAGUAACUAAUGGGAUGUUUAGAUUAUAACCAAAAUAAAGCUUAUCAAGUUUUGGUAAUUUGGCAAUAUUGCCAAGUUUUGGCACUAUUCUAACCCAUUUAAAAUCCCAUGUAAGCAUGCCACAUCUUCACUCACUAUCGAUUAAUAUUCUAGCCUAUUUUAAAUCCCAUGUAAGCAUGGCACAUCAUCUAUAAUAUUAUAUUAUAGAGAUCAACAAGAAUGUGUCAAAUCAUUUUCCUCACAUUAUUUUCUCAAUAUUUCAACUUUCAUCAUUUCGACAAUAUUUACCAUAUACUCAUCCAUAAAUCACGCAGCAAAGCGCAAGGUAUCACCUAGUAGUAUCAAUAUAAACAACCCCUAAGAAAAAGGUGCCAGAUAGAAUUUAGUAACUUCUUUUAUGAUGUGGAGGAAAGAGAGUGAUAAUAGGGAAUAUCAUUAUUCGCUGACCGGAACACGAACUAUUAGACAACUUAAUACAUCGAUUAGGGCAUGUAUAAUGGUUGUCAAUAGUACUGGUCUUUUAGCGUUGCUAAUUAGGACUACUUGUUAACAUGGAAGAAAGAGAAAAAUGAGAGACAAAACAUCGUUGUUAUGUAUAACAACGGCUUAACAACGAUUCUUAAUCACUAUAAUAUGGAAAUAUGGUUGCAUGAGGAUAAAAAAAUGGAAAGAAUAUUAACAAAAGGAAUAUUUUUUUAAGUUAAUGAUUAGAGCCUUUAUCGUCUCAACUAUUGUAAAGACACGGUCUCUAAAUAAUCUUGUAUUGUUUAAGAGACCAUGCUUGUUUCUACCAUUGAACAUGCCCUUGGACAGCUUAAUACAUCUGCACCAUUAAUCUACAAGCUAUUUAUAUACUCAAAUCAUUAAUUAUAUGAAUUUAUUUGAGACAACCAGCAAAUAACCUAUUGUGCCAGUUGUUUAUAUGUCUAGAUAUGAUGUGAAAAAUUUAUACAGACAGGAGUCAGUCCUAAUCAUUCUUUAUGCUUUAAGGUCCUACGACAUAAGACCUUCGUCCGGGAAAAUCUGUUCCGACUUCCGAGAAUGUUGAAUGGAUGAGAUUCAUACCGUAUCUCUACUAUUAUAAAAAUUUCAGAUGUUUUUACCGGUAUUUUGGUAGAUCGUCCGUGUAUGAGUCAGUUUUAAGUUCAUUCGCUUUUGGAAAUACAUAUCCGUAUUUGAGUCGGUUUUUAAGUUUGUUCGUUUUAAAAAAUACAUAAGGAGUUGUAUAAAAAUCUCUUUAAAAAAAUUGCAUGCUAAUUUGAGAUGAAAGUCAAACUUCUAAUUGCAGCUUAUGAUUUUCUUAAAAAAAAAAUCCAAGCGAAUUCCCAAAGUGAACUUCAUCCUAACUAAACCGUAUAACAAUAAUAAAAUUAAAAUAACAUUCACCCGUUACAACGCACGGGUAAAAAAACAAGAACUAAAGAUGGAAUAAUUAUUUACCGUCGUAGUAGCGCAUCUGGUUGCAAAGAGAUGGCUGUAGUCCGAUUGAUAAUGUGAACAUUGCAGCGACAUCACAGUGCACACCCAUUUUUCCAGAUAUAACAUAACAGAAAAACGAACACUUCUAUUUUGUUACAUCUCAUGUUCUCAACCAAGUGGGAAAAUGAAAUGUUUAACCCAGAGCGCAUCCGAUGCAGAGAACUUUUUUUUUUUUUGAGAGAGACGCACGUAUGUAGGACUGAUUUACAGUUGGGUAGAAACUUUCUGUGCAUGAUUAUAACACAUAUUUGCCACAAAAGCAUGUCAAUUUGGUUCUAGGAGAGCCAAACGUCAUCUAUGAUCUACACAUGUUGCCUACAUACAGGGCACGAGCCAUGGCCAACGAGCCAUUUGUCCACGCAAGGCUGAUGGAAAGUGUGAGAGCAUUUCGGCAAUCUCCUCACCGUCUGUCCAGCCACAACAUCCUACAAGAGCAAUUCAAUCCGUCAGCAUAUCUUUUUUAUUUUGAAGGAAAUCGGUCAGGAUAUCCAAAUUAAAUCAAACAAAAAUAGCAUGGUAAAUAUUCAGACAAGUUAAAUUCCAAGUUCUUUUGAGCAAAUCAAAUUCCAUGUUCUAAGCAAAAGAAUCCCUACACUGCGAGCUACUUCGAUUUGAUAGUUAGUAGGACUUAGGAGUAUACUCCAAUAUACAAAUAUGUACUACCUUCUAAAAAAUCACUUUUAUACAUGAAUCAUUCCAAUAUAAAAGUGAACUUAUUUUAAAAUGAAUGGAAUAGUACUAGGAUUCGAUUCCCAGUAUAUGUGAUGUGGAGCUUGUACCUGCAGGCAAACAGGGCAAGACAAACUUUCCCCAAUUGAGCCAUUAUUAUGAUCUAUCACGACAUGGUAUGGCAAUUUCAUUAAAGAAUAUUUUGAAAGCCCUUCUCCGGAUGGAACAUCUCCUAGGAUUUCAUGUACAGCACCAUUGACAACGUCUGCAAUACCAACCUGUUGACAUAGCAUUUUGUUAUAAAAAAUAUUAAUAAAAUUUGUUUAAGAAAAAGAGUAUGUAAACUUUCAGUGAAAAAAGAGUGGUCAUUAAACUUUGAAAUUCCAACACAAGCCAAUUGACAUUUGAAUUCUUCACUCACUGUAUACCACUGAAUAUUUGCCCCCCAAAAAAGGAUACUUUUGCGAAUCCCAGUCGUGGCCAUAAACCUAUUUGUCAUAUAUGAAAUGAGACACUGACCUGCCAACGAUAUGUGAUAUGUCCUGAUGCCUCAUUCUGCUCUUGCACAAAACGAGCAUGAAUAAGCUGCUUUACAAAAUCACCCUGGAAGCCAAACAAAUUAUUUUUCAUAUAAGCAUAUUUUGCCACUGGCCAAUUUCCCAUCGUAAUUAAAAACAUUUCACAAAAACACCUCAAAACAUUUUCUAAAAUCUUGGCCCAAAUACUCCUCAGGGAAAACAAAAAAGAGAACUAUCAAACACAACAAUUAAUGCAAUCCAAAUGGACACCAAAACGCGCGAAUGAUUAAUUGAACAGUUGAAUGAAUGAUUGAUUGAACAGCUGAAGAAUCAAGAAUGAAUGAUUGAUUGAACAGUUGAAAGAAUCAAGAAGCUUACGCACCAUGGACAAUGAACCAGGCGAGCUUGAUCGAUCUUGGCACCAAUACGCGCGAGAGGCCUCAAGGAUCUCAAUGGAGAGGACAGCACCAGCAAAUGUCCCUAGCCCAGCUCCCCGGAGAACGCCGCCGUCGGAGGCUCUCCCGGCCAAUGCUCCGGUGACCGCCCCCGUCAAGCCCCCAGCUUAAUUCAUCCAUCAUUUCAUACCAAACCAGCACAAAGAAACCAAAAUCAGCACCAAGAAGAAGAGCUCGAAGAAACGUUCGGAUUAAUCCUAUAUCAAGCAUUUCGAAAUUCCAAUAAUCUUCAGGGAUCACAAGAAAUUAGUCGCACGCCUCACCGGUUAAUAGAUUUCUUGGCUAAUUAAUUAAGCUUCGAAGUUCCAACCAUGGCGAUCCUUUCCGUACCAGACAAGAAACACACGCUGAUUUCCUGAUUGUUUGCGAUAAGCGACCACGAAAGAGGGAGAGAGAGAGAGAGAGAGCAGGCGCGUACCGACGGCGAAUAUACCGGUGAGCAUGCCGGAGACGACGCCGCGGAGCAGCCUGGGGAGGCGCGUCGCCGCGCGACGGCGACUCUCCUCCUCCGCCCUCGUCAUGGCCGCCGCCGGCGCCACCUCCAUUGUUCACGCGGGCAGCCCAAUCACAGGUUGCCGAUCAACGCAGCGUGAUGGUGGCGGCGGCGCUCGUCCGUCGAUCGCCGGGGUUGCGUCGCGCAACGGGGAAGGAGGGCUCGCCGGGAACGGAGGGGGAGAAGAAAGGGAAGGCGUGGGCGCAAGAGAACGAGUCUCUCAGCUUAGUAGUUGGGGCGAUUUGGCGCGUGAAAAACAUGAAAACUAUUCUGUUCGAGAAAUUCCGUACGGAAAUGGAGAUUUUUGUUCGAUAUAUUUUUGAGAUUCCUACGAACCAGCAUUGUUUCGUACCAAAAGUCAUCAGUUUUUUAAUCUAGAAAUAUAUAAAGAUAUUAAUACUAUGUAAUUAGUUUGACCGAAAUUUGUGGCUGUUAACGCAAUACAGUGGGCAUUGUAUGACCACUGUGUUGCGCUAGUCAUCGGUUGGUGAUACAAUCUUCCGUUUCAAGCAACGUUUAGUUGAAACAGGCAACGCUGCACAUACCGACAUACUAAACUCACUUAACUACAAUAAUUGAGAAACGUCUUUAAUUCCGGCUAGGUACAUAAGGUGGUAGACUAGUCGGUCUGAAUUAGAAACAUCACCUCUUUUAAUUAUUUGAUAUUAGAUUUUUCCCUAAUAUUCAUGUUUUUUUACUUAACAAUAAGAAUAUAUCUAUUAUAUUAUUAAAACAGCUUUGAAACGAGGCAUCACGUUCGCUGUGGGAACUAGAAAUUCCCACAUUAAUUGGAGAAAAAGAAAAAGAAAAGAAAAAGGAGAGUCCAAGUAGAAGUACAAUCUAAAAAUAGCUGAAAUUCAGAAUUAAAAAUAAGCAAUAUUGAAAUAAGUUUCCAUACAAGAACCCAAUACGAGAUUAAUCAAAAUUUUAAAAAAAUAAAAUAAAAUCCAAAAUUAGAAAAGAAAAGGAUAGUCCAUGUAGGAAUACAAUUUUAAAAUAGCUAAAAUUCGGAAUUAAAAAUAAGUAAUAUUAAAAGAAGAGUCCAUAUAAGAACCCAAUACGAGAUUAAUUAAAAUUAGGAAUAAAAAUAAAAAUAAAAUCCGAAAUUAGCAAAAAAAAGAAGAGUUCAAGUAGGAAUACAAUUUAAAAAUAGCUGAAAUUCAUAAUUAAAAAUAAGCAAUAUUGAAAGAAGAAUCCAUAUAAGAACCCAAUAUGAGAUUAAAUAAAAUUCAGAAUAAAAAAUAAAAUAAUAUCCAAAACUAGAAAAACUAAAAGAGAAUUCAAGUAGGAAUAUAAUUUUGAAACAACUGAAAUUGAAAAUAAAAAAUAAAAAUAUUAAAAGAACACAAUACGAUAUUAAUUAAAAUUUGAAAAAAAAUAAAUUCUGAAAUUAGAAAAAGAAAAUAUUAUUUUAAUUAGGAAUACGAUUUAUAAAUAACUAAAAUUUAUGAUAAAAAUAAAGACUAUUGAAAGAAAAAACCAUCUAAAACACAUGACGAGAUAAAUUAAGUAACAUGCCUAUAAAAGAGUAGAAUGGUGGCGGUUGAUACGACAUAUAAAAACUGUUAAUAAAACACCAAAUAGAAUUCUAAUGACGAUUAAAAGGAGGGACGACAGACAGGCCGUAAAGCAAACGAGCAAGGCGAUUGCCGGGACUUCUAAAAAGUAAAAAAAAAACCCAUUGAUAAUCAUAUUCGAUUUUUAAAAUCUCAAUGACAAUAAAAAGGAGAAGCAGCGGGUGGGGUGUAUAGGAGUAUAGUUGCAGAGCCGCCGAUGGUUGACGGGACUUCUAGAAAAUAAAAAAUGAAUUCCAACGAUAGUUAUGUUCGAUUUUUAGAAUCACAAUGACAAUAAAGAGUAGGCGGCGGACGGACCGUAGAGGAGCAUAGUGGCAUCGUUUGACGAGACUUCUAAAAAUUAUAAAAAAUGAAACCCAACAAGACAAUAAACUCUAAAAACUACAAGGUUAAAUUUUUAAAGGUUCGGAACUUCUAUAAAGUAAAGAAAAAAUAAUGAUAAUCAUGUUCAAUUUUAAAAUCUCAAUGACAAUAAAGAAGGGAGGCAGCGGGCGAGCCGUAGAGAAGUACAAUGGCAAAGCCGCUGACGGUUUGGCAGGACUUCUAGAAAGUAAAAAUGAACCCAAACGAUAAUUAUAUUCGAUUUUUACGAUCACAAUGACAACAAAGAGAAGAGACAGUGGACGGACCAUAGAGGAGUAUAAUGGCAACGUUUGACGGGACGUCUAGAAAUUAUAAAAACGAAACCCAACAUGACAAUAAACUCUAAAAACUAUAAGAUCCAAUUUUUAAAGGUUCCAAGGAGAAUGAAUAGAAAUAGUGGUAAAUCGAGCAAGCAAAUAAAGAAGGAGAUGACAUAAGGGGUAGCAACUGAUGUGACUUUUAAAAAACUAUAUAAUUAGAAACACUAGGAUGAUAAGAUUUGGUCUUUCAAACUCUUAAGACAAUGAGAUAGUUAUUUAAUAAAUUUUAAGUAAAAUCAUACUUAAAAAAAAUAUGAUUUUGUUUGGAUGCUAGCCGCGCAAUUGUGCAGGCCACCCAGCUAGUUCUUUUUACAGGACAACAGCCAAUAUGGGUGAAAAUAGAUCGGAUAAUAUUCAAUCUGAUCUGCUUCGAAACCGUCCAAAAUAAGGAUAUGCUAUGGGAUUUUAGAAAUCCGGCGCACGGAUAUGGAUACGGAUGAAUUCUAUUUAUAGGAAAACAGCAAUUCAGCAAAGCUACCACACAUUUCAGUAUUCCACCCAUUAUAGCACUGUAACUUAUCUUGUUUGAAUGUGAUAAUUUUAGGGGGGAAAAAAAUCAGAAAUCAUGCUUUUCUCAUGUUCUAACUGGUUUUAGAUCACCAGGUUGGCCUACAUGGAAAACAAACCGACAAGAAAAGUGGAUUCUUCGGGUGGCCGAUUGCUCAACAGAAGGCAUGCAACAGACCAACAUAAACAUGCUCUGCAUUUAUAGUCAGGUUGGUAAUUGGUACACGUGUAGCGAUUUGGCGAGAAUGGGCUACAUAAAAGUGUGAUGGCGGCGCAAGCCGUUGCAGCAUCACGUCUUGUCAGCUCCUGUGGACCGUGCUGGCUGGACGUCGCCGUCGAAAGCAGCGGCGCAGCGCCGGAGGAAAUAUGCCGGGCAAGAUCAAGAUUACAUUUUCAGGACCGUGCUAGAUUCCAAGGUGAACAAACUUUCAAAAAAUGGAACAAUGUAGACUAACAAGCAGACAAAAACUGAUCUAUAAUUUUGGAAACAGGAUAGCUAAAUGGCUUGGCGACAGAUUUUUGGAGCCCAUGCAAAUUACUAAUCUUGGGAUUUGCUUUACGAUCCGUGCUUCAAGGGAAGAGGAGGAAUAUCACCAAGCUUAGAGGGAUGGCCGUGGAAGACGAUGGCCUAGCGGUGGACGGGGCACACGGGCGGGUGGCGAGGCGUCAACGACAAGCCAAAGCCGUGGGGAUGGAGACCGGCAGUGAGUCGGCGCCGGUGGCAUGGGCAAAGCAAGCUUAUGGUUAGGAGGUGAUGGUUGGUGGUAACGAAUCCAAUGACGGAGAGCCACCGAAGACGGGAAAGACGGGGGUGAAGGCACUCACCGCCGCUGGUUUGGGGAAGAGAAGGGGAAAGGGGGAAAGGAAGAGGGAGGAGGCCGGCCGAGGGACCUCGCUGACACCUUUGACUCUUCCGGCUAGCCAGUGAGGCCGGGCAGCGGUGCACUGGAGCGGUGUGGAUCAGACGCUGUGAGCGAAGGCGGUAUGAAGGGGUGUUGGAGAAGGAUGAAGAAGGAAGGGGUUUUAGGGUUUGGUUGUCUAACAUGAAUCUUAAAGCAAAUCGGAUGGUCUAGAAUUUGCAAAAUUUCUAGAAGUUUUUCAGUUAAAUGGUACUACAUAUAUAUAGAUAGUUCCUUUCGAAAUAAGUAUUGGUUUUAAUAGUUAGGGUUGAGGGUUCCAACAUUAAACAUGGAGUUGUAACUUAUACAAAGAAGGGGAAUUCAAAUGGUUAAUUGAAACAACUAUUGUAAUGGUUCUUACAAAUGCUAACACAAUAUGAUUUUUGUCCUUCUAACUGUUAAAAUGAAUAAAUUUGAUGAACCGUGCGUAAACGGCAGGAGUAACUAUAAACGAUUUAUAAGAUAACCAAAUACCUUAUCUAAUUUGUGACACGUAUGAAUAGAUUAACAAGACUCUCAUUGUCACUGAUUACUAUCUAACGAAACCAACGGCGGAAGAAAUAGCCGCCUUGACGGAAUCAGCGAGGAAAGAAUGACCCUAUUAAGGUUAACCGGCCACUUAUCUUGCACUGGUUGAACCAACGAUAUCGUUACGCUCGGAUGACUAAUACUGUUUUCAAGUGAAUCACUUUCUACGGACGACAACGGUGUGGGAGGACCAGCUAGGGUGCAGCUCUACGGUUUUUACCUUCGAGAUUUUGAAGCUUACCGUUCCAACUCAACGGAAAUUCUCCCAGCAAAAAUAAAAGAAAGGCUAAGUUUCGAAGACGUCAUGGACAUGCACUAACCUACAACAAACCCCAAGUUUUAACAAAAUCUAUAUUCAAAACCAUGUGCAAAGCAGCGAAACCAUCACCCCCAUGGCCUCAUCGCCCCUCUUCUCCGCCCCCUACUCAUUCUUUCCUUACCGACGCCACCGUUGUCUUCAGCUCCACUACAACCCCCUGCAGCAACAAUUCUAGCAGAUGGGAUGUUGUAACCAACUGCAAGAUCAAGAACAUAGUAGACGCAACAGGGGCACAUAUAUACACCAAUCAUCCCAAGCAAAGAAAUGAUAACUGACAGAGUGAUUGUUUAGACAUGCUUCAAACAUAAAAAAACACGCGCAAAGCCACAAUUUAUUAUCAGUGUUGAAGCGACAUCAUACUAUCAUGGAGACGGAUAACAAAUAGUGUCCAUGAGACGAACGAUGAAACGACUGAGCAGGAGCAUCUUUUAUUCACGCAGAGUACUAUGGCUGGCAAGUGAUAGCAGCAAUCGAUGGCCCCGUAGAAGAUAACGCACCGGAAGCUUAAUCAUCGUACUCCUGGCGGCGAUGGUGGUGGUGCUUCUGAUAACGCUGCUUCUUUUCAUCAUCAGAGUCAUUGUCAUCCUACAAAAAGACAGCAUGAACUACUUAGCACGGAAUAGAAACCAUCUACUUCUCAUCCUCCGGUGUAAAGUCUACAUUGAAGAUACAUUAGAACAGCUCUGCACAACAGAAGCACAAUGGCAAAUGCUCUUCUGAGCCUAUGAAAUUUGCAUCCUCAUCAGAAAAUUAGUUACAGAACCAUACAAUAUACUAUAAAUCUAACAAGUGGUUCUGAAAAAAUAAAACACAAUAAAAUUGUGAGGUACCCCUGUUCCUCUUGAGUUUUAAGAGUUCCAUUACGCCUUAUUAAGAUGCAAAUUUACCAAUAUAUAGAGAAUUUUACCUUGUCCCUUCCACAGUAACAGACUAAUUAUAUGCUUGGGAAAACAUCAAUACGAUGACAAAUAAUGAUAUUUGAUACAUGGGGAUCAUAUAGGAUAUGAUAAAAAGUAAUGAUACUAAGCCAUAUGAUAAAAAGUAAUGAUACUAAGCCAGCAGUCAGGCACCAGAUUAGCAGUUCCCUCUUUCUCUAUUUAACAUCCAAACCAUGUGUCAUGUCAAUAAUGAUUUCCCUGAAAAACUCUUUUUAGCUUCCAUUUAUACCAUAUUUCACUACUUUUAUGAUUAAAAAUGGUGUGAUGCUAAAGGUUGUAGCACACUUUCACUGGGGAAAUUCAAAGAUGCAAACAAACAUGAAAAAUUUUAGCCAAAAAACUGUGGAAAUAUUUGAAAAAAAAAAGAAGAGGAUGACCAAAUAAACCAGGCAUGCAGAGGAAACAGUUGGGGUCUGCCCAACUCUAUAUGCAGGAAAAUCACCAAUCUAGUAGACAAGUAUGCAGUCACUGGAAUGAAAAUUCAAUGCUCCUAUACUUCUAUCAAGAAUGAUCCUACAGCCAUAGGUUAUGUCUGCAGGUUAGGUUGGAGCCAGAUAUCAAUGUACAAAUAUUUGAACUAACAGAUGGCCAUGAUCCAAGCAUAAGUUUGUAGUAGUCUCUGGUUUGACUCCUAACUUUUACUAGCGCAAUCUUAGUUAUUCCAGCCUUUCUUACGCAAGUGCUGCUAUAAUUUUGGAGUACACCACUUUAUUAGCCUGAUAAAUUACAUGUAAAAGGUUCCUGAAUGGGCAUUUGUGUGAUAUGAUUCAGUAAUGCCCAUUUGUUGUAGACAUACCAAAAAUUUUAACUGGUGAAUUUGCACGUAACAGAUAUGGCAUAUCAAAGUAAUUAGUACUCCGUAUUAUGCAAGAUCCAGUCCACUAAUAUAUUUAGUAUGAAUGAGUACAGUAAUGUCCAUCUUCUGUAGAUAAUACAAACAUUUAACUGGUCAAUUUGCGCAGCACUUGUAUGAUAAAAUAAACUAACUAGCAUUGAUGAAGAUUUAGCAUUAUAGACAUGUCACAAGGAAUUGUGCACUAAAGAUAUCUAAUUCUGUAGUUGAUAGUUACAUAUGGAUAAGCUGAAUAACACUUCCAUGAGUUAACACUACAUUGCCUAGAACUAUUUCAAGCAUCACAAGCCUAUAUUAUGCCAGCCACUAUUUUUAGAAACCAUUUCUCUAAUGUCAUACAAUUCAUAACUUUCCUAUGCACACCAAGAAGGUCAACAAUGGUUUUAAUUCAUCAUCUAUCUCCUAUAGUAAUAUAUAGUGUGGCUUAAUACAAUUGUGCAAAUGAAUAUCCUUAUCUUCCAAAACCCACCGUACGCUACUUUUAGCCAUUACAUCAAGCAUAGAAAAUGGUCAUAUAGGUAAAAUGCAGAGGACCAGGGAAGUGCACUCACAUGUUUCUUGCGGCCGUAGCCUCCCUGGUAUUCGUCUCCCCCGCCAUAGCUCGGCUUGUUGUAUCCACCACUCUCAUACGCAGGCUUCUCGCCGUACCCAUACCCAUAAGAACCCUGCGUCUCCUCCUGACUGUAAGGCUUCGGCUUGGGGUAACCACCAGAGCCAUAGGUCCCUUCACUCUCUUCCUGGGCUUUCUUCCCAUAUCCAUAACCAGAACCACCACCAUAGCUCUCUUCCUCGGUCUUCCUGCCGCCAUAGCCCGCGGAACCAUAGCUCUCCUCCUGAGCCUUCCUCCCAUACCCACCGCUACCAUACUCCUCCCCACCCUGCUGUGGCCUGCUCCCAUACCCCGAUCCAUAGCUCUCGGCCUGCGGCUUCCUCCCAUAGCCGGAACCAUACUCCGAUCCGUAGCUCUCCUCCUGCUGCGGCUUCCUCCCAUAGCCGGAGCCGUAGCUCUCCUCCUGCUGCGGCUUGGUCCCAUACCCAGAUCCAUACCCUGAUCCAUAGCUCUCCUCCUGCUGCGGCUUGGUCCCAUACCCUGAUCCAUAGCUCUCCUCGACCUGCGGCUUGCGACCGUAGCCGGAGCCGUAGCUCUCCUCUUCCUGCUGCUUCCUUCCUCCACCACCGUACCCAGAUCCAUAGCCGGAGCCGUAGGUGUUCUCCUCCUCGGCCUGGGGGCGGAAGCCAUAGGCGGGCUGGGGCUUAGAUCCGUAGCCAGAGGAGCCGUAGGAUUGCUGCUGCUCGUGCUGGGGGCGGUAGCCGGAGGAGGCGUAGGACGGCUGCUGCUGCUGCUCGUGCUGGGGGCGGAAGCCGUAGGCGGGCUGCGGCUUGGAGUGGUGGGCGUAGGGGGAGGGCUCGUCGGCGGAGUAGUGCGGGGCGUCGUAGGAGGUGGAGGGAGCGGAGCAAGGGUAGCAGGUCUCGUCGGAGGGCGGGAGCGGGCGGCCGAAGGUGAUGAAGAGGUCGUAGCCGCCGCCGUACGGCGUGGGGUCGUACUCGUCGAAGUCGUCGGGCUCGUCGGCGUGGUCCCUGGCGCCGCCGCCGCCGCGGUAGUACCCGGUCGCCAUGGCUGCGGCGGUGGUGGUGGUGGUAGGAGAUCUGUGCGCUAGUGAGCGAGGCGUGGGAUGGAGAGGGAGAGAGUGAGGCUUGGACUUUGGGAAGAAGGGGGGAUCGGAUCACGCGGUGAUUUGCGCGUCGGGGGCGUGGGGGCACGUGGUGCGGCGGCGUGGAUGGACGGUGGGCCGGUGGUGGCUUCGGGAGGAGAGGACGGGCCUACGCUGGCGACGGCAAGGGGAAAUCAGGAAAUGUAGGACAGAGAGGGUUGCCACUCGCCAGGUUCGGUUGAUUGACUACUGCUACAUCACUACACUCUCCAUCUCAUAAUAUUUUAAUAUUUUAAGUUGUUGCUUUCAACGUUUGACCACUCGUCUUAUUUAAAAAAUUUUGAAAUUAUUAUUUAUUUUAUUUAUGACUAAGCACAACUUUUCCUUUUUUAUAUUUGUAAAAAAAAAUUGAAUAAGACGAGUGAUCAAACGUUACAAGCAAAAACUCAAAAUUCCUUAUAUUGUGGGACAGAGAGAGUAGUUGACUUGAACAAUUUUUUUUUUCAUGUUCAGUUGCUUGGUUCGGAGCCUAUUGUUGCCUUACCAACAUUUUAAUAUUAUUAAAAAAAAUUGGCAAGUUUUAGCACUAGAUUUGAUAGUACGAGUGAAAGUUGGUAGCAACCAAACAUUCAUUUGAAAAUAUUGAAGUAAAAUUGUGGUAGGAAAAAGAAUAACCUCAAUUCAAGUAAGCCCUAAAUUUUAAUACUUUCUCCGUACCGAAAUGUACACAUUUUUUUGAUAGGAACGGGUAUAAAAAAAUUAGGUAAAAACUGAUUUGAGGAAGAUUGUGAUUGGUUGAGAAGAGAAAGUAAGCGAAGAAAUUAAAUAGAGAAUGGUUGUGAUUAGUUGAUAGAAGAGGGUACUCCCUCCGUCCCAAAAUAAAUUAACCUCGUACAAGGAUGUGUCACAUCCUAAUACGAGAUUAGCUUAUUUUGAGACCGAGGGAGUAGGUGAAGAAAUACCUUCAUUUUCGGACAAAGUAUUGUGCUAGAAAUAGCUGUAUUUUAAGACGGAGGUGGUAACCAACUUAAUAUCGCAACCUUAUUUAUCUUUACUAAAAUUUGGUAAUCCCUAAAACAUUUACACAAAAAAAAAUCCACCAAUUUUUAAGUAAGGUGUCCAACGAAAUAGGCUCUUUACAUCUUGACGCUGCAAACUGCAAAGAGAAAAGUAGCAUUGCCAACAAUUACCAAACUUUUGCAAAAGAAAAAAUAAAAAUGGCAUUGCCAACUUUAUCAAUUGCCUUUUUUUUCCUUUACCAACAAAUAGGGAGGUUUAAUUUCUCAAUGAACUGGACAUGCUUGUAGUUUUUCUCUCUAUAGAUCACGUAACAUGAUACCAAUCAACGCAACCCAUACCUCUAGUUUUUGUUUCUAUUGAAUAGAUAGAGAUUGCAACGUUCCAGAUAAGGUUAAAUAUCAAGCUAGCUUGGCUUGGCUUGGCUCGACUCGCUCUAGCUCGUUAGGAUAAUGAAUUGGCUUGGCUUGACUUGUUUGCUAGCUCGUUAAGCUUACGAGCCAACAUAUUCAAACCAACAUUAAUUCGAGUUUACAAUUGUUCGCACGCAAUAUAAGUAUCAAACCAACAUACAAAUUAGUAAAUGUGUCAUUAGCACGAUACUUCUAUACAAUCAACCAACACAUAGCAAAACAAGUCUAAAUAUUCAGGUCUAUGAUCGAGCGAAGCAGCACAAGACAACUAGUGGAUGGAGAGAAUGGAUUGAGUUGAGACUCGAGAAGACCACAUGCCACAGGUGCGGAUAACAUAUGCGCUUUGUUUUUUUUUGUGUUAUAUAGAUAGACCUUUGGUGCGUUCGGGAAGAGGGGUUUGUGACCCCCUCCUCCCCGGCAUGCAAAACGAAGCACGUAUUAUCGCAUGAUUAAUUAAGUAUUAACUAUUUUUUUGAAAAAUGGAUUAAUAUGAUUUUUUAAAACAACUUUUGUAUAGAAUUCUUUUACAAAAAAUACGUCUUUAACAGCUUGAAAAGCGUACGCGCGAAAAACGAGAUAGAUGAAUUGGAAAAACUGGGAGAAGAACACAGCAAGUGUUGAGCUGCUGUUGGAUUGCUGGCCCGCUUCUUGCUUUGGCUCAUUUAGCUUAUGAGCUCACAAGCCAGCUCAAGCUGGCUUGCUAUACAUAACGAGUUAGGGUCCAUUUAGUUACCAAAAAGUUUUUCCCAAAAACAUCAUAUCGAAUCUUUGGACACAUGCAUGAAAUAUUAAAUAUAAAUAAAAAGAAAAACUAAUUACACAGUUAUGGGGGAAAUAGCGAGACGAAUCUUUUGAGCCUAAUUAGUCCGUGAUUAGCCAUAAGUGCUACAGUAACCCACAUGUGCUAAUGAUGGCUUAAUUAGGCUCAAAAGAUUCGUCUCGCGGUUUCUCGGCGAGUUCUGAAAUUAGUUUUUUCAUUCGUGUCCGAAAACCGCUUCCGACAUCCGGUUAAACGUCCGAUGUAACACCCAAAAAUUUUCUUUUCCCCAACUAAACACACCCUUAAUAAUCUUAACUCAAGCUCGUCCAUAAAUCCAAACGAGCCAAACAAGCUAACGAGUUUUGAAGAAUGUCUAACCCUAUUUUCAUAGGGAACUGCAACUCUUAGACUAACAUUUUAUUUUUAUUUUUGUUUGGAAAUACUGCUUGAAAGAUACAGAAAUCAUUGGGUGGAACCCAUCUAGGUGAACUGCAGCACUUAUCAAUUCAGUACAACUAGGUUUACUACUAGCUCCGGGCAAAAGUCGUCCAAAUGACAAGUGAUUUGGACAGAGAAACAGCGAAUGCAAACGUAUUUCAGUAUUUCAGAACAACAAAACAAACCCUGCAGAAUGCGAUUAACGUAUUACAGCUAAAAUGUUUGAGGAAGCAAACACCACACUGUAAAUUUGGGCAUGACGAAGUAGCAAACAAUCGUGAUAAGCUUCCAGACCUCGACUGUCACAAAUUAUGAUAAGUAGAUGACAAAUAAAGAGUUCGAGAAAUUGUUCAAUUGCUCUUUCCCAUGUAGUACUUUUUAUUCUUUCAAUUUGAGAAAACGCAACAACAAACAGCAGAAGGCUGUAGUUUCGAUUACUGUUCUACUCUGUAUGGGAUAUAUAGUUGUACACCAAGAAAUAUGUGAAUCCGGAUCAGGUGCAGUCGCUGCUGGGACUGCAACUUAGGCAGUACCAGUUUUCAUCGACAGAUGCAAAUGGAAAGGUCCAGAUCAGUGAGGCAUACUGUUCGUAGCACUGUAGCACAGAAUACUGUUUGUACGGUCGCUGUAUCACUAGAUCUGAGCCAUUGAUCACUGAAAUGGACGGCUGAAAUUGCUUGCAGUUCUUAAGUUACAGUCACAGCUAUAACUGCACCUGAUCUGAAUCCGAAAUAUGGAAAUGAGAUUCAAUAUUGUUCCAGUAAAGAAUGAUGGUUAGGUACAAAAAGGGGUUUUUCUCCUGCAAUCUAAUUGUCAGUUCCGACGAAUUUGUCAGAAUGUGAUAUACACAGGGGCCCUGCCAGAGGGCUUCUUCAAGCUUGCUGAUUAAGAUGACUGACCUUUUAUGUUGAACAACAAUACAAUUGAUUGGGCCUUACACAUUAAUACUCAACCUUUGGGAACCAAAGAAAUGACAAGGAAGAAAAAAAAAUGUACAGUAGUUUUGCACAAAUUUUCCUUUUCCCUCCUUUACCUUUUCUUUUGCUUGAUGGGUUGGCUGCUUUUCUAAGCUCGGCAUUUCUUUGCCUGUGGAAAAUUUACAGUGUAUUCGGACGGGUGGACAAAAAUAGAACUUCACCUUUUUCACCUUAGCCAUGCAUUUGAUGUUGCUAUACAAAAUAAUGGUAUAGUUACAGGUGGGCAGUUACUGGAAGGCAUGAAAGACCAAGGCACCUUGUUUUAACGUUGUCGCCUGGUGUUGACCUCCAUUUUCUUAGCCAUCUGCUCGUUGCACUCGCUGCCUUUGGGGUUGAUUGGCAAGCGUGUUUUUCAAUAAUGGUUUUAAGGAAGACAUGAUCUCUGAAAAUGAUGGACGCAUCUUUGGGUCUCUGCAGCAACAGAAAAACAAAAUGGAGUUAAGAUAGUGGCAGAGGCAGACAAGAGGAAGGCAUCAAUUCAAUUUAUUGAGAAGUUCAUCACGAAACCAAUAAAUCUAUCCAUUUUGUUUAGAUGAGUUGCAUGUCACUAUAUGUGGAGAAGAAUAUCUUUUAUCCCUCCACAUAUAGUGACAUACAACUCAUCUAAACAUACUCCAAUUUUGUAUACAAAACACAUAUCAAAUUCAUGGUAGUUAAGUUUGCUUCGCUUGUUCAUACUAGUUGGAAUAAGAUAGUAAAUUUGUCAACUAAAAGAAAGUAAGUUUCAUACCGUUAAUUCUUGUAUGAAUAUGCACAUGAAAACUAAAAGACUGUAAUAAUAUGAAAAUAUACUUUAAGUGACAAAUGUAAUGGUAUCAGUUUACAUGAUCAAUCUUAACAGACUUUGAUAUGCAGUUGUUAAAGAAGUUUGACUGCAUGGAUUUUAUAAUGUCAUAAGUUUAUGAACAGUAGUAGCAUAUUUAUACAAAGAAUGCUCUACAUAUUCAGAAAACAGUCACUGCAGCCCAGCAAAUCAAAGCAUACUCACGUUUGCCAGCAUCUCCUUAUUAUCUCUGCUAUGGUGGGAUCCACAUGAGCUGGAAUAUCAAGGCGACGUUGCUGAAAACCAACAGCUCCAACAACUUGCAUGGGGUUCAUACCUUCCCAUGGCUGAAGUAGUGUGAAAAGUUCCCAUAAUAUAACCCCGUAGCUGAAAACAUCACAUCUGCAAAAAUGCAAAUAUAUUUGGCAAAUGCAAGCUGACUAAACUAAAGAAAAGAUAAAUCAUAAAAACAUGAGAAACCUACUUCUCAUCAGAUGGUUCGUUUCGAAGUACUUCUGGUGCCAUCCACUCUGCCUGUAUGUCAUGCAGGUAAUCAGUAACCUCUAGAAACAGCUUUGUGAAGUCAAUUAAUUACACAUUCCUAUCCAUAGCUUACAAAAGAGCACCCAGAGGCAAGACCAGUGAUGUUCAAUGCUAAAAAGCACAAUGUUAAACCAAUCACAGCAAAUACAUGGAUAGAUCAAAUCAGGAACCAGCUAAACUUUCCAUGAAUAAGACCAUACUAUGUCUAUGGUGUCCGUAUUGAAUUACAGGUACUGAUAUUUUUUCAUCAAACCAUCCGAUUGAUCCAUUUCAUUUUAUAUACUGAUAUUUCUUCACUGAACCAUCUGAUGGAACCAUUUCAUUCUCAUAACAACAGGAAAACAGAUACAGUUUGUAGAUUCAAUUAUGGCAAUACAGAAUAAUCAAAAGAUAAACCAAAGAUGCAAGUUUGUAAAAGAUGAGUAUCAGAAUAAAUCACAAUGAACCAUGGAUAAGCUUCUGGGCUUGAAUGUCAACAUUCUCCCAGUUCCCAACCCUUCUAGCUACUUGCACAAGUCCUCAAAAAGUAAAAUCGAUUCAGGAUGCAUUUGAAUUAUUUUCCUACAAUCCUACUCAAUGGUACUAUAUAAACAUCUUACUAUUCAAUCUGUUUUUUGGCACACACAAUUAUAGCAUAUUUUGGUCCUAGAUACAUGUCAUGCUACAUUUUCAAGAUGAACUCCAAUCCUUUUAAUGAUACUUUCCAGUUCCAAUACCAUUUACUACUCUAUAAGAGUUGAUUCUAACAGCAACAAUUAGCAUCACUAACAACGGCAGGGUGGUCUUAUCUAUAUUUACCUUAUUGUUUGUCGUGUAAAACACUAAACCUCUAUUUGAGAAUGGGAGAGUAUAACUAUAUCAAAAGUCAAUUAAAUACUAAGCAAAAACUACAGAUAAGCUGCACAUAUAAUUUUUUUUGUUAAAAUAAGAGUUUCUUAAUCCCAUAACAGCUGGAAAAUAUUUAAUUAAAAAAAUAUAAGCAGCUUACUGUGCCAGCCGUGGAUCUCGAGGAAAGGAAGGUACUAUUCUUCAUACGUGAUAAACCAAAAUCACAAACCUAAAUAAUAAAAUAAGCAAAUGGUUAUAAGUGCCAAACAUCCAAUGCAUAUUACUGAUGAGGCAACCUGUUUCUUACCUUCACAACCCAAUUCUUGUCAACAAGAAGGUUUGGAGAUUUCAAAUCUCGGUGCACUACAACAGGGGAGCAAUUGUGCAAAUAAUUCAUACCACGAGCCUGAGGCAAGAAGAAAGGAAGUAAGAAACAAAUUUAGCUUGAAAUUCUCCAUCUAAGUGGAUCAGGAUAGGGAAUCUUUAGGCAUACCACAUCAAGUGCCAUUCUUAGACGUCUUCUUUCAUCCAAUUGGUUGUUGGGUCGAUGAAUCAAUCGAAACAAACUACCUCUACAAUGUCAAUAUUAAUACAUUGUAGUUAGCAACUAUGCUGGUUAGAACCCUACGACAUAAAAUAUUAGAACCAUGAUGGUAUUCAACUGAAAAAUGCUUAUUAUUUUAUAUGCAACUGAACUUGCUGUCUCCGGUCAUGCAUUAUGUAUUGGUUUGCAUGAUGCUUGGCCAUCAUCUUCUAUAUUUGUUGCUAACUAACCAAUGCAAAUUUGCUGACCCAGGGACAAAGCUCCCCCAUCUUCUAAAAUCACAUGAUGUCCAAAAGAAUCCAAAAUAUACAUGGCGUAGACAUAAAGUCAUGCAUACAUGCAAAAUUUCAAUGUCCAAUCUUUACAUAUGUAAACAAUAAAAGAAAAGGAACUGCUAAAGAAAUUUGCCAUGUGUAUAAAACUAUUACUUGUAUUUCAUCCCAGAAUUUCUUUUAGAGUUUUUGAAAAAGUGUCACCCAAUUCGUACAUGCAUUGUGUAACAAAAAAAAAAAACUGGUUGUCCUAUGGAAAACAUCUCAAUUUAUGAAAAAUUUGGAGCAGUGCAUAGGGACAGAGGGAUUUCCUAUUACCUAUAUUAUUUGUUUCAGAAUUCUGAAACGGUGACACCCACCACUAGCCCACAACAAUAUUUUUUUAAUGUGUAAUAAGUUUCCAAAAAGGAAAUUAAUGUAAACUACUUAUCACUUUUGAUAAAAGUCAGAAAAUAAUGCGAAAGUGAAAUGUUAGUAGAAUAAUAUUUAGUUAAGAGAGAUAACAAAACCAGGAUAAAAAUAAGUGGUUACUAUACUUGGUACUACUAAUUAAGACGUUAUAAAUUGGAAAGAGAAUUGCAUGAACAGAGAAAAAUGUACCUUGGAAGAAACUCGGUCACGAUAGAAAGAUUAGGUACACGAGUAACAGCACCCAUAAAUAGAACAACAUUUGGAUGACGCAAUCUCUUCAUUAUUUGGAACUGCAUAUCAAGGAAGAGUGAAAAAAGCACGGACAAAAUUUUGGAACAUCUGCGUGAUCAUUGUAAUGAUGUAAGCAUGUCAUGUCAAACGCAUAGUACAAAAAAUCAGACUGGGCCAGCAGUUAAACCGGAAAAGACCGGAACCAACACCCUUGAUGGCUUAGUUUGCUCUCAAGACCAUCUCCGCAAUUGAACUGGGAUGAACCGGCUGAACCGGACAAUGUCUCCUGUAAACCAGUGAACCAACAAAGGCCAGACGGUAGCUCAUCAUGCGCACCAGCAGAACUUGGGCUACUUUAAGGACCAUAUAGCGAAACUGAUGUAUCAAGGCCCAUUUAUUUGGAAUGUAAAUCAGAAAUUGGUGCGGAAUGGGGAUUGAUCCCUGGUGGAUUCAAUGGAAGCUCCACUCCCACCUAGGCAGUUGAAUGGUUGUGGCAUAGAGGGAAUGUUAAAUCUAACUAAUGUGUUUGGAUUGCGGUGAAACCAGCAGCCUGCCAGUCAGACCGAUGGACCAGUGAACCAAGUACUCUAACUGAUUCAAUGGCCGGUCCGACUUUUCGUACUAUGGUCAAAGUAAAAGUCGUCAAACAUUCAAACCAUGUUGAGGGAGUUAAAUAAGCACUUACAAAUGGCCUCAGAUGCCUUUAUCUGUUCAACAACUAGACCAAUUAAUUGUCAUAAACUAAUAUAAUAUUUGGCCUAUUAGUCAGACCUUAUCAGCUCAGGCAAAUGGAUAUACAAAAUAUACACCACAAGAAAAAUGAGCUCAAAACCUUAGCUGAAUGGAAUAUAUGUAAAUUUUGCAUCUAAUAUGAUUCGUUUCAUUGAACCAAAAUGAUUGCCUCGUUUAUGUCACAAAACAAAACAUGCUGGGAUGCAGUAUCAACGCUAAGUUUUUUUUCUUUUUUUGCAGUCAUAAAUUUGGAUUGCAGACAGUUACCUCAGUUCUAAAUUCAUCCAGAGCAUCGCUUGAUAUAUCUUGCUGCAAGAAUUUCUUCACUGCGACUUCCUACACAGAGGGGCAAGUAGGUAAGGCACAAAAUGCAUAACAAAUAAAGGAUAAUGAAUAUCACUCUCGAGCUGCUCGAACAUAGAGGGAAACAAAGGAAGGUGCUCAAGCUAAUCUAAUCAAGCAGUUCCUUGGCACAUUUAUUUUAAUAUUAUUCAACUUUAAGUUGUCGAAAAAAAAACAAAGUGUCCCAGGUAUUUUCAGCUUGUGGAAUACAAAGUCAAAAGAAAUAUUUCUCUAAAAUGAAUGGAGUGUCUUUUUUUGUGAAGAAAUACUAGCGACUACUAGAUUACUUAGAAGCACACACAUAAGAUGAAAACUAACGCCGGCUGGCAAAACCAGGUUACAUAGUGUCCAUGGUGGCACCACGGAACCACACUCAAAACUGGCCAAAGUGGGUGGAGCCAUCCAAUUAGGGGGUUGAUUAAAAUGAUUGAAAGUUUAGUGUGUUAAGUGGACACUAAUGAUACUGAUUAAAAUGGAAUUUUCCAUUUAUGAUUUAUUAAGGGAUAUGAUAUAAUCCCCCCAAUUACAAUUAGGUGUGCUGGUGCAACCUGUAGAAACAGUUGUUGUGUCCUAGUAUGCGACCAACCAGAAACUAUAAUGUAAAGAUAUCCAAGCUUUUUGCUAUAUUGACAAGGCUAGAACUUAAAAAAGACACAGGUUAAUGAGGUUAGUUGAUCCUCACAUGAUAUGUUGACUAUGCUAUAACAAGAACUUAAUGUCUUGAUUGCACACGGAUUCAUUAGAACAAAAGUUUGCUUUCAUUAUUUCAACUUGGUGAUAAUUUAGAAAUAUGGUAUUGCGGUGAGCCAUAUUAGGUGAAAAACUUACUGUUCCAUGCCAUUCCCCUUUGUACACCUCUCCAAAGGAUCCUGAUGCACAGAAAAAGGAGGAAGUUGAAACAAGAUGGAAAAUAUGAUACAAGUAUACAACAUUAUUGUAUGCGGCUUUUAUUCAAUUUAAUGGGGAGGUAAUGCUCAUGAAUGGGAAAAUUAGCUGAGUAAUCCUGCAGAUAGUCAAAACAUAGUAGGGGAGCUAUGAACAAAAUGAAUUUAAAGAAACCAAGAGAAGUGUACCUAGCCCAACACGUUCUCCCAGAGUGAUCUCUUCCCAUUGGAUUUCAAACUCUGCAACACCAUCUAGGGCAAUAUCAGAUCUUGAGCUUUCAGUCCCAACCGACUUGUCAGAGACUCUUUCAGCUUCCUGAGGUACUUCAACCAAAUCUUUUUCUUUCUCGGGAACACUAGUUUGUCCAUGAUCAAUUUCAAGCUGAUUAUCCCAGAAGUCAUGUCUACCCUUCGGGAUCAAUUCAUUUGCCCCUGAAGAACUUGGCAAACUAAGCAAUUGACAACCAGGUUCCAAGUAUUCGUACUGCUUGUUAACAGCAGCAGUUGUAGCCACAACUGCAGCAGCAGUCGCCGCAGCAGCAACAGGCACGUCGAGUUUGAUAUCACUGUUAGAUUUAGCUGCAGCGACAACCAUUGAGGAUGCAACCACUGCAGCGGUUGCAACAGCAGCUGCUGCAACAGGCAUUUGUUUUAUAAGUUGUAGUGGAUCCUCCUGGGGAGGUGCAGAUGGUUCAUACAUAUGUGAACUACCAGUACUGUUCCGGGAAUCUGAGGGAUGGUAGGUACCCAGCCCCUGGAUAGGUUUAAGAUCCAGAGGAAUCCGAUAAGGAACAGCCUUUGUUUGGAGUUCAUGUCCAGGGGGAUGUGGCACCGAAGGACCAUGACAAAAAUCAGCGUUUGUUGUAGAUUCAAGCUCAUUCAUCCUCUUUAUCAUUUCAUCUUUAGUUUGAAACAGAGAUGUGUCAUACACAAUAAGGUCUUUAGGUUGUUCCCUUGAUUCUUCUGAAAACAAAUCAGGUGGUGGGACAACUCCAUUUUCAAGUAAGACAGCAUGGAUCCUCUCAGCUAUCUGGGGGUUUUCUUUUGCAGCACUAAUCAUAUAUUCUGAGACAUCUUUCACUUUCAUCCUUCGUACUGCUGGAGCACCACCCACCUCAGAAGAUGAAGGAGAACUUGAUGACGAAUUAUUCGCUGCAGAGGACUUAUCUUUGCUCUGUGUACUCAUGGUAUGGUCUGUAUUUCUAGAUUCAUGAAUAACAGGCAAAUUUUCACUUGUGCUUGUGCUAAUUGAUAGUUCCCCAAAUGAACCAGAUACCGCUGAUCCCUGGCUGCCAGUCUGGCCAGUUGUUAUGCCAUAAGGAUCAGAAUGCCCAAAAUUGCUGGGUGUGGAUACUUUUUCAAGUGACUCAUUCUCAAAAGAACCAUACAUAGAACUUGAGACUUCACUAAAGGAAGACCCCAACUGAGUGUUACAGUCAUCUUUGUUAACAUGGUGACUAUCUGCAAAUAAACUAUCUUCAAAUUCUCUACCCAAGCCCGCACCGUCUGAAGGUAUAAGAGUACCUGGAUCUGACAUGAGAUCAACAAUGUACUCCCUGCAAUAAUAUAAUACAGUGCAGGCAGCAUUACAAGAAGUUUUUCCAUACUUACCAUUUAGAUUGUUAACAAACAUGUGAGGAGGAAAACUGGAUGGCCAGACACAACUAUACUAAGCAAGUAAGCAUUAAUAUCACUUUUAUCCAAGUAUAAAAGUCCUAGUUUCUGUUGUCAAGGAAUUAGUAAAUACCUUCCAUCAUUAACUUUCACAAUGCUCUAGAUGUCCAGAUACAAUUAUGCUAAGCAAGUAAACAUUAAUAACAUCCAAGUCUAAAAGCCCUAGUUUAUAUUUUCAAGGAAUUAGUAAGUACCUUCCAUCAUUAAAUUUCACAAUGCUCAAAGCUCCAUCAUCCGAUCCAGUGUACUGUCUUCCUUUAACUAGUCGACAAGGAACAGCGAGGCUGUCGGCCAAAACCUAGAUGCAAGUUUGCAAAUGUAGAUAUUAGCAUUUACACAUCUCCAAGCCACAAAACCUUUAAUGAAGUGAUGCUUAUGCAUUAAAUCCACUAUGUCAUGAAUCCGGUACAAGGACUAAAAGUCUAGAACAAGAAUGAAGCCAGGUCUUGUGCUACUGAUAGAACGAGAACAAGAAUGUGCCAUGUCAUAUUGUGCACUGAACAGAAAUUUGAUAACAAUAGAGCAGAUAUUGCAUUUGAAAAUUAAUGGACGUCAAUAUCUGCUAUCUAAAAAACAUCAUAAUUAGAAAAGGAAAUGAUGGCUUAGAUGGAUGGCCGAAAUCCAAUAGUCACUAACCUUAAAAAGCAGUGCACGGUGACGAGCCAGACCAAUUGUUAACUCACCGAGAGGCAUAACAGCACUUCUUAUACUAGCUCUCAGAGAGCUGCUCACAUUCUGGUACUUGGACAAAAAGCUUUCUGGAUCGAUGACUGGUCCACCCAUGUAGUCGGAAACUAAAGUAGCUAGUCUCUGGACCAGGUUGUGCCCAACAAACUCUGGAGUUUUCGAGCGAACUUCCACAGCCAUGAUGAGUGCCUUCUGCUCAAGUUGUACAAGUUUGGUGUCUUGUGCUCUGUUGACCAAUACGGCUUCUGUUUUGGAUGCAUGUGAAAAUGGCUGUUGAUGCAGUUCCGUCAAGGAGGGUAUGGUUGGCAAUGUGGGCUCGUCCCCAAUGACAAAAAUGUCAUAGAAACCAUCCAAGAUUUUGUCGUCGUAGCUAAGGGCACUGAAACUCUGUGAAGCACGAACAAAUCUACCAUAUGAGGCAAGUACGAAAAUGGUAAGAGUCACAAAUAAGUAGGGCAAUAUUCACUUGUGAACAAUUUAUACUGAAAAGAAAGCAUCUAAGUUGGUCAUUUGAGGACUACAAGCUGAGUGUUCAUUUGCCUCAUUAUCGUUAGACAGUACCAUCCACAAAAAGAAAGGCAGCUUGAUCAGCCAUUAUUCUGAUAAGUGAUAACACCUCAACAAAGGACCAAGGACCACCACAAAAGUUCAUAGACUGCUUGUUUUGUUCCAAAGUGCUAAUAGUCUGAAUGCUAAUAGCUGCUUAAUCCACGGGGUGCUAUUUCUCACUAACAUCAUUGCAGAUAAACCAAAUGGCCAAAAUGAGUAUGUAUAGGUUACAUAACUACCACAAGUUCGGCCACCCCUUUCAUGACUGAACAACAGUUAUCAGACUGUAGAUGAACAUACCAUGAUCAACCCAUCUCAUGACAGCUAUUUCAUCAACAAAAACACCAUCCUUCCCAUUUUGUUACCACUAAUAACUAAUCGAAUGGUUUGUAUUUGAACGUCUAAGUUUACUCAACAAAGCAAGAGCGAGAUCCCAUCGCAGUAAACAAUGCGAACAGCGUGCGACGCGAGGAGCAAAAACCAAAAAGAUUAGGAUCGAGCAGGAGGGAUGAGACGGUGAGAGUACCCAGUAGCGGAAGGCGACGACCUCGGCGGGGGAGCUCUGGAGCGGGCAGGAGCCGAGACUGAUCUGCUUGGCUACCUCGAUCUGCGUCGCCUCGGGAUCCUCCCGCGCGCUCAUCUCCAGCGCGAGCUGCAUGUGGUACUCCUCCAGCUCCGCCUCCUGCUUCUCCUUCUCCAUCUCCCUCUUCCUCACCGACUCCUCCCGCGACUCCCUCCUCGCCUUCUCCUCCUCCUCCUCGACCUCCAGCCUCCUCACCUCCACCGACGACGCCAACGCCGCCGCCUCCGCCUCCACCACCGCGUCCGCCGCAAACGGCGGCGAUGGCGACGGCUGCGUCUGCGGCCGCCCGGUCACGGAGCUAAGCCAGCUCGAGAUCCCAGAACCGUGCUUAUGCUCGUGCUGCGCUCCACCACCACCGCCACCUCCACCGCCUCCGCCGCCCUUUUUGGAGACCGGCGGAGGAGGCGCGAGCGACGAGGCGCCAUCGCCGGCCGAGUCGCCGAUGUGGAGCUUCCGGAGGAAGUUCUUCAUCCCGCUCCCGCCACCGUCUCCGCCGCCGCCGCUACCGAUGCUGGUGGUGGUGGGGCGGUGGAUCCAACAUGGCUUCGGAUGCGGAGGCGAAUGGAAGAGAAGAGAAGAGCACAGCGAGAGAAAGGAGAAGGAGUCGCAGUAUUGACCUGCCUACGAGCAGUUCCAAGCCGCAUUAAUUUAAUUUAAUCCGGUUUUUAUUAUUAUUGCUUCGCUGCAACUGGCUGGCUGGCUGUUUGCUUGCGGCUGCGCUAUACUCUAGUCGCCCGAAUUCUCUCCUCCCGCUCGUAAAUCCGAUUAAAAAAUCAAAUUAAGUUCGCUUAAAUUUCAAUUAAAAUGGCGCUUGGGUGUGAUUAGCGAACACUUCUUCUAAAUUUAAUAAAGAAAGAAAGGUCCCGUUGGUGCGGGAGAUGGACCUGCUAGUACUGACAUGUGGGACCAGAUAAGGCAUGGACCCACAUGGCAGAGGGAUGGCGCACUGCUGCUUGGGAAACUUGUCGCGGGGGACAUGCAAGAAAAGGGCGCCCCGGAUAGCGAACGCGGCGGGGUAUACUCGGGCCCCGCAUUGCGUUCACGGUGGAAAUCUAGAAAACCAUCUGCUCUUUCACUGACGUCCGGGACCCACAGGGGGUGGACGUCACCGGCCGGUGGGGCCCACCGCUUCCGCCUACUCUCGCCGUCGGGCGAGAGGCUGCGGCGCGCGCUGCGCGCGGGGGAGGCAAGUUGGCGGGUGGGGCCCACCUCGUCGUCCUCCUCGUAAACCGGCCGCGCCCACCACCACCUCCUCCUCCACUACCAUGUGGGUCCCACGAUCCCGCUGGGCCCACGUGACAUUGAGCUCGCCGCCGCCGUGUGCGUGGUGGUACAGCUCUGCCACUAGCAGGUGGGCCCACCGUACCACUGGAGUACUGCCAGGCACCAGGGUUGGGUCGCUCGUUUUUUUUCCGUGGGAAUUCCGCUUUUACUCCAAGCAAGUUUAAUACACUAUCUGUCCCAUAAUAUAACAAGAACUAUAUAAGAACUAUAUAAGACAUUUUAUAGCUCAAUGAAUCUAAACAGGAGGUCUGACCAGAUUUGUUGUAUUAUAAAACGUCCCAUCAUAUCUUACAUUACUAUAUUAUGGGACGGAUGAAGUAGUAUAGCCAAGUCCUAACUCCAAAUCUUUUAUAGUCAAUUUAAUAGCUAAUUUAUACAAUAGUUGCAUAUUGCACUAUUAAUAUCUGGUCCCACAUGUCAUACAUAUAUUGUGUCUUGGAGUCUGUGCUACAGCUGGCAAUUUAUACAAUAGUUACAUAUUACACUAUUAAUAUCUGGUCCCACCUGUCAUACAUAUAUUGUUUUAGAGUCUGUGCAUCUGGCUAUAAAUCUAUAGUCUGUUGUUCUUCUCUCUCCUCUUUUAUCUUUUUAAAAUAUGUUUAUAGAUGGUUUAUAGUUGCUGUUGUAUAUGCUCUCCUAUGCUACUACUACGCGAUUGCCCUUUUUUUUUCUUUUCCUUAUGAUGAAUUCGCGAUGCGAAGUUGCGAUUUGGGCAUCGCGAUGGGUUGAACGCGGCAACGCGCCCCGUGCACGUGGCCCUCGAUGCCAUGUUGGUACUAAAAGAUUCUCCGUCCUAGGCUCAUCUCGUCUCUCGUCUUUUUCCCUUUUUGUAACCGGAAGGCUAAUCUCGUCAUCUUUCGUCUACAUAUUAUCAUGAUGCAAUGCCAAAUAUAAUGCACACGCAUAAAAAAAAUUACAGGUUUCAAGUAUUUCAGUGAAAUACACUUUCAAGGUGGUAGCUAGAGACUAAUCAACAAAUGAGUAAGACCAAUAAUAUAUUCUGUUUUCAUUAUACCAAAAAAAAGUUUUUUUUCCUAAAACAAUGUGCUUUCUCCGUACUCGCAAAGGAAGUCGUUUUGAACAGCGACACGGUCUCCAAAAUAAAACAUAACUUUGACUUCUUGUUUCUAUAAAAAUAUUUAUUGAAAAAUGAUAUAGGUAUACUUUUAUGAAAGUAUUUUUAAGACAAAUCUAUUCAUAUAAUUUUUAUAUUUUCAAACUCAACAACUUAAAAGUUAUUCAUGAUUUAUAUAUUCUUAAGGUUUGACUUAAAUAUUAUCCUAAGCGAUUUUCUUUACGAGUAUGGAUAGAGUAUACAGUAGUAUAUGUAAGGGAUACAAUAAAUGUUUUUGUUAUGGCUAGCUGUUGUCUUGCAUUACUUUUAAGUUGUGGGUUACGAUGAGUUUUGCUUCGUUCCUUUCACGAGCGAUAAGCGCAAAAAGGGUUUAAUUAAUUAAUGUGUAUAUUUGUUAAUAUAUGUACUCCAUCCGUUUUAUAAUGUAAGUCAUUCUAAUAUUUCUCAUAUUCUAAUAAAUCUAGAUAUAUAAAUCUAUCUAGAUUCAUUAAUAUCAAUAUGAAUGUGGGAAAUGCUAUAAUGACUUACAUUGUGAAACGGAGGAAUUACUACUCAUUUUUAAAAGUCUCCAAUGGUGGCAGCAGUGUAUCUGCCACCCCACUAUUGUUUUUUUAUUUUUUUUAUAGAUUGACUCCUGCUAUAUUCUAAUAUUAUGGUAUAGUUCAACAUUAGCUCAUGUGAAUAGCACAUAAGCAAAUAAACAAACAAAUUAUAUUAAGAUAUUUGUAAAAAAAAAUAUUUUACUAUCAUAUAUUAGUAAUAUUUCUUCUGUCCAUAGCAAAGCCUUUGCUAGUAAAAGAAACUUUUGCAUAAGAGUCCCCACAAAAAGCUCCAUACAUAUAUCAUCCUAAAAUUAUAUAGUGUUUGAACUAAUCACAUAUGCGUUGGAUCCAUGGUGGUUCAGCACGACAAUGGUAUGGAUGCUGCAAGAACGAGCGGAGGGUACCGACGCUGCUAACCAGUAGCAACUCCAGCUCAAUGGAGAGGAAAGAGGAGAAGCUAGAAAGAUUGGCUCAAUAGUGAAAAGAUUAACUUAACCCUAUUCCAAUUUAUGUAACUAACGUAAAAAUAGGUGGCUUAAUAUGAAAUUUACUCCGAUUCUUUUGUAAACUCGCAAUCGAGCACUAAUAUAUACUCUGAGCUAGUUUGAUGCAUGCUAUGCUUAAUUAAAAGUGGAGACAGCUGGGAAGCUUCCUGCCGAGCUCCGGGGGCCUCGUUAAGCCACCCUAGCUUGGCAGCCUAGGAGAGAUCGAAACAACAUGGCAUGUUGAUAAUAGGACAAAUGGCUGAUCUUGCAGGACAAAUGUAUUACUGGAUUGUUGUCAUUUUUUUCAAGGGAAUAUAAUAUUAAGAGUAAAGUCCAUCACCGGUCUCUAAACUUGUACCGCUGUGUCAUCCCGGUCUCUAAACUUGCAGAUCACUCGUUUAGGUCCUCCAACUUAUUCAGUCUAUAAACUAGGAUUUGAAUAUCAUCUGGGUCAAAUAGGACGGUCUAAAGACUUUAUAUUUAAAAAUAAUUCAUAACUUUUUCAUGUGAACUCUAAUGAAGACAAAUUUUAUAUCAAACUUGUAGCCCUCGACACGAUCUACAACUUUGUAGUUGAAUUUUUUUUAUUUUAAAUCAUUUUUUGUCCCAAAAUGUAAUUUCAAAAUUAAAAUUUCAAAAUCUAUAAACAUGCACCAAGUAAAAUACAUGUGCUAACCUUCUUGUUGUUAACAGAAUGAAUACUGGGAGCGUCGUCCUUUACUAGAAAUCAAGAAUGUAGAAAUUGAUGAUUUUUAAGAUGGAAUUGUUUGUUGUGAACUUGUGAUGCAUCCAGUCUGCCAUGUGCAUAAGCACGUACUCCCUCCAUCCAAAAAAAAAAAAGCUAACCUAGAAGAGGAUAUGACCCCUCCUAAUAUAACGAAUAUGUCUAGAUUUAUUGUAUUAGGAGGGGUCACACCUAGAUUCGUUAUACUAUGAGGGAGUUGGCUUUUUUUUUGGGACAGAGGGAGUAGAUGAUAGUGAUCCGUGGUGAACUUUUUUGUGUUCUUUUUUUUCUUCUAAAUGAAAACUUUUUCGGGUUGGUCCGGCAAAAAACUUUUGUAUGUCCUUCUAUAUUUAAAGCUUCUUUUUGUUUAUUUAAAUUGAAUAGGUGGAUUAAAAGUACAAAGGGCAAUUGUAUAGUGCGAAAAUAAUACUAAGUGAAGUCAUAUAAUAUGUAUAUGAGAAAACUCUUUUUUAAUUAACCCUGAAAUUGCCCGAUCCCUUCUAACCCAAACUUUGGUUUAGAUCCCUUCCAUACUCUUUUUGCCAGUUGAAUGUUAAAUUCUUAUAAAAAAAAGUUAAUUUUGCCCUUUGGUGUGAAGAAACAUAUAAAGUGUAGAAAUUUGUUAUAUGAGACUUUUAUAUUUUAUGAGUUUGUUGUGUGCUCUAUUAUUCAGGACAACAUUAUUUUUUAGACUGACAAAAAAAAUUUAAUCUUUGCUUUUAGUUACUAAAAAUUGUAUAUGUAGCAUAUUUUUUUAUAGUAAAACAUAUUUAUUGUAUAAGACAAAUCUAUUUAUAUGCUACAUAAAACAAUAUUUAAUAACUAAUAAAUAAAUAUUAAUUUUUAUGUCAUGUCUAAAAAUAAAUUUUGUCAUAAAUAAUAUCUCACAUAACAAACAAUAGUAUCAUAUAACAAAAUUUUACACUCUAGCAAUAUACUCCAUAAAUUUAUAUAUUUCUUCAUACCAAAGGGCAAAUAUACCUUUUUAUAUGAAUUUAACAGUCAACUCAUGUUCAACUAACAAAAAGUGUAUGAAAGGGACCCAAAAUUUGAAGAUAUAUAUAAAGAAAUGAGCAACUCGAAGACAUAAAAGGGAUUAGGUAAAUUUUGAAGGUACAUUAGGGAAAUUUCUUGUAUAUGGAUAACCUUGUAGAAUAAUCGAAAUUGGCGACGAGUAUGUAGGAGUGGAAGGAUAUGUCAGUGUGGUAUGGGUUUAAACUAAAUUAUUUAUGGUGUAUGGGUUUAAAUGCUAAUCACUCCAUCUUAAAACAUAACUAUCUUUAGAGUGUUUUCUGGAGAUUGAAGAGAGAGAGGGGUAAAAAGACCUAAAUUAUCCUUCAGAAUUGUUUCGGUUGAUGGGAGGUGGGUGGGGAGUGUAGAGAACUGGAGAUGAAUGGUGUCCUGGACAUUUCAGUAAAGUAUUUCUCCACUGCAAACAUCCCUUGUAUAUUUUAUGAAUAACUAUAUUUUAGGACAAAAUUUAGUAUUAAAAUAAUUUUUUUAGCAUGGAGAGAGUUGAAAAGUAUAAUAGUGUACCUGUAACUUUACUGUAAGGGGAAAUUACAAAUAUACCAAUACUUUCACCCUCUAACUCAAAAUAGCCAUUAAAAAACAUGAAUAGUAAAUUUACCACUGAUUUUAAUUUGUGUUGCUUCCGUUUGCCACUACCAUUUAUUUUCGUGCAAAUAAGACGACAAAAAUAAUUCUUAAAAAAGAAAUAAACAUGAAAAGACCAUUUUGCCCUUGAUCCCCUUGCUGCUCAUCUCUCACAAUCUUUGCUCUUCACUCCAUCGUGAGGAACGGGGGCCCCCCUCUCUCUCUCUCUCUCUAAGAACCCUAAUCCCAAAUCCCCUCAUCACUUCCUCCGAAUCAACCUAAAAAUGGUCACACUGAAGUAGAUGACAAAUGGAGGAGCUCGUGGAGAUGAUUUUGGCGAGUAGCGACUGUGGCUGGGGGCAGCAGGGGUGUCAGGCGGCAGGGAGGUGCCGAGGCAUUCUGCAGCAGCAUGCAUCAGGGCAUUCUUGUCCUAUUUUUGGGAAAAUCCAUCAUCUAACGGUGUUUGUCUAACCUAUCAAUCCAAUGACAGGUAUGUUGGGUUUUGACCCUUUUUAUGGCAAAUAUGCAAUUACAUUUCUUACAAUGAAAUUCACAAUAACGGUUCAAACCAUUGGCAAAUAUGUAGUUGGCCCUUACCAUAAGCACAUUUUCGUUAUUCGUGUGGCAUGCGUAUGCAUUACAACUACACCAUAGUGCUGGUGUAGUGGUGUAUGUGCGCAGUACGCGUAGUUGGUCAAAUUAUUUCGUUUGCAUAAAUGCGUCGAUGGUUGACGCGGCUUAUUUCUUACCGUUCAAAGCGGAUGCAAUGAUUUAGUUUGUACACGUAAUUAGAAAAGAUGGUGUUUUGAGUAAUUCUCAUCCUCCUGUGAUUUGGUGGAAGCUUUGUCCUGUAGUCAAAAAAUAAAUAAAUUAAACGUAGUAGAUGCAAUUUUUUCAAUCUUCCGGCCGUUUUCCCCCUUAACAUGAAGCACGUUAACGCAUGAACUUAUCGCUUUCGUGAUAAUCAAGCGCCCUUUUAAUAUAUUUUUUAUCAGCAAUUCCGACCUAACUAUAUAUCAAAUUUGAGGCGAUUCCAUCAUCUUCCCGUCAUUUUCAGAAUUAUCCACGAGAGGAAACAAGAAACGAACACGUCAUGUGGUGCGUAUGCGCCACCCAUGCACACAACUAACGCAAGAAAAAAGAAAAAGAGAAAAAGGAGGAAAAAAAAAGAACCCCUGACUAAGCCCAGUUCGAUUCGUCUAGAAACCAUACGAUUCAGCCAAAAAGGGUGGAGUCUGGUUUUUAAAAUUGAAAUCGCAUCACUUUCGUGGAGUAUACUAGUAUACUAUAUAGUGGGGAAGUGGGAAAUGGUCCAGCGACCAACUAGUUUAAUCAGUUUGUGCGCAGGGCAUGCAUCCACUUGCCAAAAUGAGGACCGUUCACUUUGAUGUCAUUUUUAACCUUAUUAAAUUUUAGUAAAGUUACUAAAAAAGUAGUUACAUUUAUUUUGCUACCAAAUUUUGGUAACUAUAUAAGAAAUCCUGCCAAAAUUUUGGUAAGGCAACUAUGCCAAAAUUUUAGUAAUACUAAAAUUUUGGUAAGAUUUUUUUUGGCAUCAAAGUGAACAUGCCCGAAAUGUGUGUCAAUUUCCAAGUAGCAAACUGUUACUGUGACUGCUACUGCUAAUUAAUGGUCAUCUGAUCAUUAGCCGGAGACAAAUUAAUUCUCGUUCUCACAACUUGCAUGCAAAAGUUGCAAGAGCUAGCGCAAUUGCCCCCCUUGUUAUAGCUGCGUUUAUUCCAUAUACCAACUCGGCCGGUAACCGUUAUCUAAAUAAUUCAAAUUUAAAUAUAUGAAUUUGAAAUUUAAAUAUAUGAAUUUCAGUAGCCGGCCGACAACCGGUUCAUUUGACAGACCGGUUGUCUUGAAUACAGAGCGCUAUAAUCAGGGAAAUGAUUUCAAUAUGUCAAGAAGAUGUUUACUCGUUUCUUAUAUAUUAUUUAAAUAAUUAUGAAAAAUUGAUAAUAUAUAAAAAUUAAUAUGUGGUAUAAUAUGCAAGUUCAAAUUUAAUAGUUAAAAGAAUAACUGUGAAUAUGUAUAUAAUAGUAGAGUUUAGUUUGUUAAUUUUGUUGUAACAUAUAGAUCUUGAAUUUGAAUUUACAUGUUUAUAUAGUGAUAUUAAUAUAUCUUGUUAUUUUUUUAUAAUUAUGUAGAUAAUAUAUAAGAAACCAGUAGACAUAGUUAAGAGUUUUAAAUCCCAUGUAAUCACGUACUAAUAAGACAUAACUAUGAGUAGAGACAAAUCCAAUAUGAGGACGGUGGAGGCUCGAGUCUUCACUACUAGCGUGAGCUCACACAUUUUUUUUUUGCUAUACGUGGAUGGGAGGGGGGCUGUAGCUUUGUUCUAGUUUGUUCAGACCUCCUGCUAUUUCUUCCUGUAUCCGUCACUGAGUAAAGAGAUUCGGGUAAUUUUAUUCUAUAAUCUGAAAGUAGACCGGUUGUCUCAACACUUGUCUUCUAAACCAAUAGGAGUAGUGAGUUGGUGACAACACCUAACAAAUUGUAACUUGUCACACCAUGACUCCAUGAGGUCUCAAAUCUGAUAUUGUCAGCAAGAUAAAGCAUUGUCUAAGUUUGUGUGACACAACAAGCAGAAAGGAUAUGCAUUAGCCCAGUAUAAUACAACUUGUACAACAGGUUGAUGACAAUAUGACAUGCUAGUUGUUCGCUGAUGAGGCUUGGCAAGCGGGGAGCAUCCGAAGUGACAAAGCCAGGGACAUGUAGUAAAGGAUGAAAACGACCAGAAACAAUACGAUGAUUCUCUCGAUUGGUCAAGAAUUUCUUUAUUUAUGGAGUUCCUUAAACUAUUUGGUGAUGACUAUAGCCUACUACUGAAAUAAAUUAGAAUAUUCAGAUUCUAUAUGUAGCUAAAAUCUAUACUAUUCCCUCCGUUUCAAAAUGUUUGACACCGUUGACUUUUUAGCACAUGUUUGACCGUUCGUCUUAUUAAAAAAAUUUGUGAAAUAUGUAAAACUAUAUGUGUACAUGAAAGUAUAUUUAACAAUGAAUCAAAUGAUAUGAAAAGAAUAAAUAAUUACUUAAAUUUUUUAAAUAAGAUGAAUGGCCAAACACGUAAUAAAAAGUCAACGGUGUUAAAUAUUCGGAAACGGAGGGAGUAUUUGAGUAGAAUCAUCCUCCUUCCGCCCUCUCUCUGUGUGAUCACCAGCUUACUACCGUGUUUUAUCUUUAAUCCACUUACCAGUUAAUCUCUAAUCAUAUGGUCUGGUCUAUAUUGAAAAAUACACCCAUCAUAUAUGAGUUUAACCCAUUGUAAAGUAUAAACAUGUUAGUAGUAAAAGGUUAAAAAAAGACAAUUGCACGAUCCUUGAUCCGUGGGGAAUUACCAUGUCCAUUUUCAUCCGUAAUACGUACGUGCUCGUCGACCGGUGAGCUGGAAAAGCGGCCAGGCCGGAGCUGAUACGAAACGGAGCAAUCCAGUCCACUGGCUGGUGGAGCAUCGGAGCAUGUUGCCCACUUCCUAGGAAGCACUUGUGUGUGUGGCCGACCGGGAGUGGCACGGUCGAACAUGCCAACCGAGAGGAGAGGAGGUUACGGCUGUUGCUGAACCAUGAGUGAUGUCUCAACUUUGCUAGCUAAGGGAUGUUUUGCUCAGCAGAUGUAUUUGAGGAUUUUGUUACACGGUUUGCACUGGACUCAAUUGAGAAUUGCUUCCUCCGUCUUAAAAGAAACUCGAAUGACAGUUCCAGUGAUAUUUUUACAAUUUUCUAGUGGCAGUCUUGUAAUAACGAUUCAAAUUAGCGGUAAAUUUACAAUUGCCCCUAAAAGAAAAUACUAUGUCUAUCUUAAAAUAUAGCUUCCAACUACAUAGCUAAACAUACUCUUUUAUAUUUAGAUAUAGAGCUAGAAGUAAUUAUGUUUUAGAAUAGAGAUAGUAACUCUUAGCGUCCAGAUCUAUAAUAAGAAGUUAGUAUUCUAAAAUAACGGAAGUGUUAUGCUAGGUACUCUUAUAAUUUUUUUUUGUCCGAAACCAACGUAGAAAUCCUAUAAACUUACACGCUGCGGUGCAGAUCAUGUAAUGCCGGCUCUAAAAUGGUGGAAUCAGGCUUAAUUUUUUUCUGGAUAGGUAGAACUUGAGCUGAUUUUCUAGUGCUGUAUAAGUAAAAGGCUAAUGCAAAUGUUCCAUCGUACUUGCGCAUUUCGUGGGCUGAUAUAGAUGGGGGUAUAGUUAGUUAGUUGUGCUUAGUCCAAAUUAGGCCCAGCUUGGCAAGUCCUUGCAUUAUAAUCCAAAAUGCUGAUUUUAAUUUCAGAUUUAUUUCAUUUUCCGUAAGACCAACUUUCAAGGUUCCUUCGUCGCUUUUAUUGCUUGAUGAUUCUCUUCUCGUGUAUAUAUGCUUAAUAAAAGGGAAGAAACACACAAAUUAUUCUUAAAAUCUACCACCUUCCGUCCCAAAACAUAAACACCUAAUAUUAGAUAGGACAAUAUUCUAAUACCACAAAUAUAUACUAACCAAAAUAUAAGCAAAUAGUAUUGAAUAUGACACAUUCUAAUAUUUUUUUGAGAUGGAGGAUAAAAUUCAAAAUCUUUUUGAUUGUGCCUCAGACCUGUUGGGAGGAGCUUAUAACAUCUCUAGCUUCCUUUUCUAACCGUUUAACUUUUCAUCUAAGAUUUAAGAAGCUAUAAUUAUAGUAUUUAGAAAAUAAAUUAAAAGCUAGAUCUCCUGAUUCUCAAGAGUGCGUAUGAAUUUUUCUUGACACGUGCAAUCUGCACCGUCCGUUUGGUAUGUAGUACAGGACAAUCAGACGGCCGGCGUUCUGCUCCUCUCCCACGAAAGAUCCGCACCAGCUUUGUCAGCUUUUGACCUCCGUUUUAGUCCACACUCUCUCGCAGCGGCGGAGCUCAGCCGCUCGCCUAGCUUCCUGCUUCCCCCCCCCCCCCCCCCCCCCACCUCGCCGCCUCCGCCUCCUCGAUCGGUUCCGCCGCCCCGCGGCGGCCAUAUUCUCGGCUACGCCACCGCCGCAUCCGCAACUCCGGGAUGGCUCUCCACGCCGCGCCGCCGCCGCCGCCGCCCUUCACCGCGGGCCGGCUCCCCACCACCUCACGUCGUCCCUGCUUCAGCGCCGGCCGCAUCUUCCGCUGCUCCCUCCCCGCCGCGGCCGCGCGGCCCCGCAACGCCGCGUUCCUCGCGCCGCUCCGGACGUCAUCCGCAGGUACUGCGACUGGCACCGCUCUCUGUUUGGGGGGGUUCGGACCUCGGGUUUGGCUGGCUGCGGGAGUUGAUUUGGGGACGGUUUCGUUGAUUCGAUAGCUCGCUCCGGGAGCCAAGCCUUGCCCAAGGGAUGGGACACCGCGGCCGGCGUAGUUGAAAUGUGAGCUUGGUGUGUGGCGGCCGCGAGCUCAUGGCUUUGUCGUCUGUGAGAAAUGCAACUCCGUUCGCACAUGAACUUGGUGUGCUUUUACUAACAGUUUUGACUGAUCAGGAAGUUGAAUCCUAGUGACGGUUGGAGUUGGUGCCAAUAUCACGCUUGGAUAAUGUGCACCGAUGAAAAUGUAGGCUGGGGCAUCAUGCAUGUGAACAUUUUUUAGUUUUUUGUGGAACAUGUGAAAAAAAAUUUAGUUAUGCGGUGAUGACAAAUUAUGCUUAGUGUGAAAACUGAGGCUAUUUUUGGUGAUUAUAACUGUUAUGUCAACUACGGAAGGCUUCUAUUUUAUGGCGUUGACACAAUUAACUUAACUGUAUUGUAGUAAUGCUGAUUGGGAUUGGGGUUGUCAAGGAAGGUGUUGGACUCAUUUUUUGUGGUAAACUGGUAAUCUGUGCCAAAACAUAUACUCCCUCCGUUUUAGGUUAUAAGUCAUUUUGACUUUGGUCAAAGUCAAAAUGCUUUAAGUUUGACCAAAUUUGUAGAAAAAAAUAGUAAUAUUUUCAACCUAAGACAAAUUUAUUAUGAAAAUAUAUUCAAUUAUUGAUUUGAUGAAACUAAUUUAGUAUUGUAAAUAUUACUAUAUUUGUCUAUAAACAUAGUCAAACUUGAAAUAGUUUGACUUUGACCAAAGUCAAAACGACUUAUAACCUGAAACGGAGGGAGUAGCAGUAUAGCAUAAUUUUGUACUCCUCUUACAAGUACUUGAAUUUUUUUUUCUCGUGACUGAAGUGGGUUGCACUCUAUGUCACCCUACUCGCCAUAGCCAUCUUCUGUGACAUUAUGUGCCAGUUGCACUCAUUUAACAUCUAGUGAACUUAGAGAUAUUUAGUUUGAAGGUCCUUUUAGAUAGUGAAUCUGACGAUUUCUUGCUUUUGUUCAAUUUUCAAUGACAGUUUGUACCAAAGCAGUUUCAAACAGUGAUGGCACCCCUGGAACAAGCAGUUCUCCACAUGUGGUGUGCUUUGGAGAAUUGCUCAUUGACUUCGUCCCAACUGUCAAUGGUGUAUCAUUAGCAGAAGCGUCAGCCUUCAAGAAGGCUCCAGGGGGCGCACCUGCUAAUGUUGCAGUUGGAAUUGCUCGUCUUGGUGGGUCAUCGGCUUUCAUUGGAAAGGUAAUUUGCAAACUUUCUUCCUGUUUAUGCGUGCUACAUGCGUAUUUGUGCUAUUGCACUUUCUGUUUGGGGCCUGAAAAAGGACACAGUUUAGAUUGUACAAAUUCAAUCUUCUUUCUUGCUCAAGAAAGCAAAUAAGAGCAGUAGGAGACAACGCAAGAUACCACAAUAGAGCAGGACAAAGCCAUCUGGGUGAAGAUCCUCUCAACUAUGCCACAGUAAAAUGGAAUGUGCCUUGGUGUUUGGGAGAUCAAGAGUUUCUGCUGAAAUGAAGUUGUAGCCAAGAAAAUGAAGAAGAACAGCAGCUUCAGAGUCAGAGAUGAGGGAGGGAGCAAGCAUGUGCAGUAGAUAAGAAAUAAAAGACGUGUAUUCUGGGAGGCAUAUGAAAGAAUCACAUGUACUCACGUACAACAUCAGCCCAGCCAAGCUAUGGAAAAGAUGUGCAAAUUCGUUUUUCCUGCCAAGGCAGGUCCAACCGCCCGAGGCAUCCUUUUGUGUCUGUCUGGUCAGGGUUAAGAAUGCAGGCAGCCAACCAAUUGUAUCAUAUGUUUUCUGGCUUUUAGGAAUUGUAUUUGUGGAAGCCUGUCGAUUUACUUUCUGCAUAUUGUAGCAGGUCAUGUCAUCUCUGGUUCUUCUGUCAUGCUUGUACCUCUCAGUAGAGCAAACGCUUCUAUCACUGACUAGGACAUAGGAGCAUCACCUUGAGAGUUACCCAAGCUAAACGAAUCAGAGGAAAACAUCAAAAGAGCCAGCAAACACUUCUAUGUUGGCACAUUUUGGAACUUGAACUAGAUGAUGGGUUUAUGUGAGUAAUUUUGCAAAUCUGCUGCCCUAGGAAGAUAUUUUUAGAAUUUGGAUGCCAAAAGUGCAGUGUGCUCAACAGUCCCGUACCUAAGAAUUAGAGGCCCUGGUGAUAAAUACAAAAUGAGGCCCUACAUUUGGUAAAUGCUAAUAACUAAAUAUAUUUUUGCUUCAUUAUAUGACUGAAACAUUUUUUCAAGAAUAAGAAAUAGGAAAAAAAGUCAUCAAUUUUCAUUGUCAUUGCGAAUCAUUGCAGCCCCAAUUUGAGUUAGGAAGAAACAUAGAAAAGGUAGAUGAGAUGGGAGGGAGUGAAUUCAUUGUCUCUGUGAUUUUAAUUGGUAGGAGAAAAAAUAGGAGGGAGAGGAAAUGAUUUUCAUGGGGAACGGUGGAAGAAAUCAAGAAAUCAAUUGACUAACUGUUGAGAAGGAAGAGAGCUGCAGAGGUGUGAGAAGCUCUGGAUACCUUGGGAAGGACAUGGAGUCAAUGCCGUAUUGCUGUUGAUUGCUAGCUGCUACUUAUACCUAAUCAUACCAUUACUACUUAAGUAAAAUUUGGGGGCCCUUUUCAGUAGCUCACCCUGAACUACUGUAUAUACGGGCCUGGUGCUCAAAACCAUUAUGUUCCAUUCCUAUUAAGAGUUGGCUUCAUUUCAAAAUGCACUUAUUUGUAUUGCUGUUAGGUUUUUCAGCCCAGCAGUUUUAGCUUCAAAAUCAAGAGGCUUUUUUUUCACUACACGCUGUUCAAUAUUCAACACAUGCAGGUUGGCGAUGAUGAAUUUGGUUACAUGCUAGCUGACAUACUGAAGGAAAAUAAUGUAAACAAUCAAGGAUUGCUAUUUGAUGCGCAUGCUAGAACAGCUUUGGCAUUUGUGACACUCCGAAAUGAUGGUGAACGUGAAUUUAUGUUUUAUCGCAAUCCAAGUGCAGAUAUGCUGCUUGAAGAAAAGGAACUUGACCUUGAUCUUAUCAGAAAGGUACACCUUGGUGAAUGAUAUUAUGCCUAUGCCCUAUCUACUGCUAGUGCCUUCAAUAAUCAUGUAAUAUUUUGUGUCAAACUGGAGCUAACUUAAUCAUGGUAACCAUGCUAGGCAAAAAUCUUCCACCAUGGCUCGAUAAGUCUUAUAACUGAACCAUGUAAAACUGCACAUAUUGCAGCUGCCAAAGCUGCUAAAGAUGCUGGGGUGCUAAUUUCGUAUGAUCCGAAUUUGAGGCUCCCACUGUGGUCAUCAGCUGAUGAUGCUAGAGAUGGUAUACUGAGCAUAUGGGAAACUGCUGAUGUUAUCAAGGUAAAGUUUAACAGGGAAAGCAAUUUAUAGGUUAAAGAAGUGCUUGAUUUGAUUGUGCAUUCCUUUUGAAACAGAUUAGUGAAGAGGAGGUUUCCUUUUUGACGAAAGGGGAGGAUCCAUAUGAUGAUUCUGUAAUAAAAAAACUCAUGCACCCAAAUCUGAAACUGCUUCUUGUCACUGAAGGUCCAGAAGGUUGUAGAUAUUAUUCUAAGGUAAUUUUGUCUGUCUAUCAGCUGUAUAUGACUAACAUUCGCAUUGUUUCUUAACCAAUUUAUGUCAGUAAAAAAUUGUUAUUGACGCCCUUUCUAUUAUCUCCUUAAGCACACUUAUUUCCUCACAAAAGUAAUGCAGGAUUUGAUAUAAUCAUUUCUGAUAUAAUAGAAAUAUUCUAUAUUUACUCCCUCCGGCUUUUAAAGUUUGAUGCCGUUGACUUUUGGAUAUAUGUUUAACCAUUCAUCUUAUUCAAAACAAUUAAGUAAUUAUCAUUUAUUUUGUUGUGAUCAUUAAAACUACUUCAAGCAUGACUUAUAUUUUUACAUAUUUUCACAAAAUUUUUAAAUAAGAUGAAUGUCAAACAUAUAUGUAAAAGUCAACAGCGUCAAACAUUAAAAACCGAAGGGAGUAUUUGUGAUGAACAUGGUCACACUUGGAGGUUGGAGAUUAUUGUUUUACUAGAUGGGUACCCGGCGCGUUGCUGCGGGAGAAUUAUGUGAUAAUAUAGUAGAUAUUACUUCUAAAAUUUUCUUUCUUACCUACUAUACGAUUUUUUUCAUGUGUUUAUAUAUUUUUUACCUUUAUCAAUUAUCCAUAGGUUAUAAAUGAUUGGGUUGUAUGAUGUGCCUUUUGGGGGGAAGAGAUGUAAUUUAUACCCUUUAUGAAUCAUCCGAAAGCUAUAAACAAUUGAGGUGAUGUGAAGAGAUGCAAUUUACACCUUUGAUGAAUCAUCCAAAAGCUAAAAACAAUUGAGGUGAUGUGGCUUCAUGAGAGAAGAGAGAAUUAGCAUUAAUUACACUUAGUGGGGAUGAACUUUAUAGGUAUAUAGGAUUACUAUCUCGUUUAUUUUUUCUUGCAGUCACUUGGAACCUUAUUGUGUAACUAAGGCUGUAUAAAUUGUGCCUAAUGUUAAUGUUUCUUGUAAAAUAACAGGAAUUUAAUGGGAGAGUUGGUGGACUUAAGGUGAAUGCUGUUGACACCACUGGUGCUGGAGAUGCCUUUGUUGCUGGAAUACUAUCCCAGCUAUCUGUUGAUUUUUCACUGCUGCAGGUAUGUUCACAACAGAAAUAAACAUGAAUUUCCAUUCAAUUUGUUUUGUUCUCUGUGGCAGUAGAAUGAGGAUGUAUGAAAUGAUUUUCAACUGAAAAGGAAGCAAAUUGAUAUAGCCCAAAUGUGUAUUUCGAGUUUUUUUUUUCUCGAAAACGCAAAAGGCACGCGCUUCAUUUCAUUAAGAAAAAAGUGUACUUCGAGUAUCUGAAUUGAUUGUGCUUGUCUCAUGUUAAUGAGCUACACCAUUGCUUUCAAGCUAGCAUAUCAUUGAUCAGCUACUUGGAGCUUUAAUGCUUCUCUAAUUCUUCUUGUGUGGUUUAAAUAGGAUGAAGGCCGAUUGAAAGAAGCUCUAAAGUUUGCAAAUGUCUGUGGGGCUCUCACUGUGACAGAGAGAGGAGCCAUCCCGGCAUUGCCCACUCGACAGCAAGUGGUUGAUGCCCUAACAAAGGUUGUUGCUUAAAAAUGUAACUUAUCUUAUUUCUCGUGUAAAUCAAAUUGUGAAAAAGGCCUCGCAGCACCACGUUGUUAGAAUAGGUUUAUUUGUUCGUGCAAUUUGGUGUGAAUACUCAUGGCGCCUUGGUGAUGUGUCAACUGUCAACCGUGGCUUCCAGCCAACCAAAAUAAUCAGGUGCAAGAGGCUAUGAAAAUUGGAUUUUGAGCUAUAGAGCUACUACACACGACUUCAAAUUAAUGACGAUAAUUUACUGUGAUCAAUACCCAGUGCGGCAAUUUGAGGUGAAAUGUUCUGGUUGACAUGUAUUUUGGCAGUAACACCAAGCAUUUUCCCAAGGGAAGAGUUCGUCGGAUGAUCUCUCUUAAUUGUUACAUGUGUGCCAUCUGGGCUCAAUUUUCCCAACACUUCUCUUCUACUAGGCCUCUUAGUAUUCCAACAGUCUAAAUUUCAAAAAUGAUUCCUAUACAAUAUCAUUUGCUUUUCAGCUUAUGAGCAAUUGUCAAAUUUUGAAUUUUAAAACAAGUUGAUUCUUUUAGGGGUGGGGGGUUCAUCGUAUUUUAUUUUCUAGAAUUAGCUUUUAAACCGUGAAUAAUAUAGAUUUAAAAGUUUUACUGACAGAUUAUUUAUUGGUUGCUUAUAUGCCGUUCUAUCAGCCGUAGACCCAAUGAUCAAGUAGAAUUAUCAGAUUCCUCUUUGUUCAUGCCUUUGUCUGCAUGCUUGGAAUUUGGAUGCAUUUUUCAAAUCAAAGGGGAGCUAAAAUCUGAGCAGCUCACCACUACUAGCUCAGCCUGCUGGUAGACACCAUCCCUGAACUUGAGGAUGACCAUCCUAAAUCAGAGCAGGCAAACGUUUAGUCCACUCUGAAGAAUGUCGGCCCAAAUCGUGCGAUCUUGUCUGCCUAUGCGAAUAGGCCCCUAGGGCUAGGUCAACCUUGCAAGUCGAACCUUCCAUCGCCUCAAUUCUCUAACUCAUCCCAUGUUCUUUGUUGUGGUCUUAGCUUUGACCUAUGCCUGAAACAAUGCAGGGAAACCCUGCACUAGCCCUGUAGCCCAUAUGGCAUCACAACAACGACAACGAGAAUAUCCGGUGCUCUGGUACUCUAGAAGCUAGGCGCUUGGCGAAGUGUAUAAAAAUCGUGUCCCAAAAUUCCCCCAAAUUUCUUUUUGUAAUGUUGGGCAAGAGAUAGUAUACUGUUAAUAAGAAAAGAUAAAAGCUUACAGAGAAGUUGUCUUCAUCAUUUCUCGUUAUUUCCAUGGUAAAAUUUUGCGAUAUAUUAUUGUGUCGUACAACAUUAAUUGUAUUCGGAGUUCUUUACUAGUGUGAACCAUAGAUGACACUUACACCUUAAAUCGUUUCUUUUAGAUUGUUUAUUGACAUCUAGUAUAGUUUUUCAGGAUGUCAAAGGUAUCUUGCCUCUUCCAUUGUCUCAAGGAUUAAAAAAAAAACUUAUUUCACAUGUCUUAAUCAUCUCCCCUCAUAGCAGGUACAAUAGCAAACUAUAAGUCAGCUAUAAACAUAUUUUAAAGAGAUAAAAGAUAAGAGAGAAUAACAGCGGGCUACAGAUCUGUAGCCAGCUGCAGUACGGACUUCAAGAC
rnacentral:lncRNA from 1 species